ACACUGGUGUACAACAGUCUGAUGGCUUUGUACAAAAAGGCGGGCCAGCCAGAGAAAAUCCCCUCCACAUUUGAAGAAAUGCGAGAAAGUGGUAUAACUGCUAACAGUUUUACAUACUUCACAUUGUUAGAAAGCUAUGUUACAAUGAAUGACCUGGAGGCUGCGGAGAAAGUCCUGGAAGAAUUGCAGAAGGUGGCUCCAGUUCACUGGUCCCUAUAUACUCUAAUGGCAAACAGUUAUAUUAAACUAGAGCUGUGUGGAAAGGCAGAAGUUGCCCUAAAGAAAGCUGAGGAAGUUAUGAACAAAGAUGAGUUAUCCUCAUGGUAUUUCCUCCUCUCCAUCUAUGCCCGUUGUGGAAAUGCAACUGAGGUUAAGAGGAUUUGGGAGUCUUUGAAGUCCACAUUCAAGAAAUGUUUGAACAGAAGCUAUCUUGUGGUGCUUCAAGCUCUGAGUACUAUUGAUGACUUUGAGUCUUUACAGCAAAUCUUUCAGGAGUGGGAAUCGAGUCAUGAACAAUAUGACAUGAGGAUAACAAAUGUUAUGAUCAAAGCUUACCUUGAUAAGGGUAUGAUAGACGAAGCUGAGGCUAUCCGUCAGAGGACCAUGGCUAAGGGUCGUUGUGAUGACAGGACAAUUUACAUAUUUGCCGAAUUCUAUUUGGAAAAAUCUAAUUUUACCGGGGCACUGGAGAUCUUGAGAGAUGCAAAGAAGAUGGUGACGGCACACAAAUGGGUGCCAUCCAAAAAGCUUACAAGCAGAUUUCUGAAGCACUAUGAAGAGUCAAAUGAUGUUGACGGCGUGGAGUCUUUCUGCGAGUGCCUGAGGAAGCUCGAAUGCCUUGAUACGGAAGCUUAUGAGGGCAUGAUGCGGACCUAUAUAGCUGCAGGUAGAACCAACCCAUCCAUUGCUCAGCGUAUCGAAGAUGAUGGGAUUCACGUUGGACCUGAGACUACGAAAUUGCUGGAGCGUGUCUCCGGCAAUUGAAACUGAGAAGGAAAGAAACUUCAUAAAAACUCGAGGCUGCCGUAGAAUUUUUCUUCAUUAUAGAUCAGAAUUAUGACUUGUCGAAGAUGUCGUUAUCUCGUGAAAAGCUUGCUUUUACCAGAUUUCUGUACAUGAAUCGCAAGGUCUUUUUGGCAUUUUGCAUUUGAUGCUCUGCUAGCCCCCCGACUACUGUGUAGCAUCUAUCUAAGCUGCUAAUAUGAUGGAGUUAUUUCCAAAAUCCAAUUAUUUUCAUGUUACUCAUGUAGUCGACGAGUUGAUUGAGUACCCAGGUAUUCUCUAAUGUUUAAUGUUGCCGACCAUUCGUGAAGAGGCGCAAGGAAGCAGUGAGUGAUUUCUGAUAUAUUAUUUGCUUGCACCAGGUAGUGUUUUUUUAGGGGAACUGGCUCACAUUAUUAAUCAACCAUUUGGGGUACAAUGCAAUGUCAGGCGAAUGUAAGAGCCAGACUUUGGCAAGCUUUUCUGUAUUUGAAAGCUUAGCAACAAGACUCAAAGGCUUAGAUAAUAUAAUCACGCGGUGGUUGUUUGUCGAUCAGGAAUAAGUAUCAGCACCAAACUUGUAUAAGCUGCAGUCGGAAUUGUAAUUUGUUAUCCCUAGUGACAACGGUUAAUGGAUAAAGAGACAAAGAGAUGUGCUCCCUGUUGUGAGCCUACAACUGUAAAUAAUUUCCAUGCAGCUCUGCAAAUUCAGAAAUAAGGUCUGUAAUUGAUGCUUACACAAACACAAAAAUAGUACCUAGGAGUUGUGUUGAAGGACAGGGCACAUCAUAUCUGGUAUAUGUUCAAAUCAUUCAGUUUGUGUUGUAAUGGAAAGUGUGCUCACUUUGUUUGAUGGAACUAACUGAACGCAUUCUAGUUUAUUCUUGUGUUGUUGCAGCACAGGUCUGAGGGGCAUUCCAUCAGGCAUUUUGUGUACCAUGAACCAUGUUCCCCAAAUCUUGUGUUACAAAAUUGUGAAAUACUCCCUCAGUCCCGUAAUAUAAGAUAAUUUUGCAAGCUAAAACAGCUUAAACGGUCUUAAAUUGUGGGACGAAGAGAGUAACUUUCUAUGACAUGGAUGUUGAUAAUGCAUCGUCGUACCGCCACGCCACUUACUAGAAAAGUAGAAAGUAAUUAUUUGAAGAUCUUUUAUGUCAUUUUCUGCACUUGAUGCUUUCCUAAAAAAGCAUGUCACUGUAUGCAUUACACAGCUGAAUUUUGUAUGCCAGUUGCGCGUCGCGUUAUGCAUCCAAUCAAUUUCUGAUGCGAUUUCCACACCCGGAACUAGAUUGUUUUUUUGUGGGAUCCUGAACUAGAUGGGGUUUCUUUUUUUGCGGGAUCCUGAACUUUUUUUUUGCAGGGAAAUUUGGGAGCUCUUUAUUCAACACUAACAGCUCCAGCUGAAUCAGCUGAGAGGCUGGUUACAAGAAGACUCGGAAUGGAGUCCAUCCAACAUUCGAUUACAUCCAGGGUGCUAGCUUGUUUAGCACAAAUGUGAGCCGAAACAUUAGCUGAUCUUCCUACAUGCUGAAUUACAAAAGACUUAAAAUAAAUGACAUGCUCCCUAAUCUCGGCCAAGAUAGGCGCCACGACCGCACAAGCAUUGUGACGCGUAUUCCAGAGAUUCACAAUCUCCAAAUUAUCAGACUCGAAAACCACCUCAGAAUAGCCUCGAAGAUGAGCAAAGAGAACACCAUCGCGUAGAGCGAGUGCCUCGGCUAUAAGAGGAUCAGUGAUUCCUGAGUAAGGUUUGCACCAUGCAGCUAGAAAGGAUGAAUGUGUUCUUGCGACUCCACCUGCCACUCCCCUCCUAGCUUCCAUUGCAACACUUCCAUCAGUGUUGAUCUUGAUCCAGCCCAAGUCUGGCGGUCUCCAACCAUGCCCCGGCAAAAUUUGCGCGUGUUCGCGAGGAAGUUCAAGUACAGAUAGAGCUUCUUGGGUUUUCUUCAUGGACUGAACAGGAUCAAGUUCCUUCUUGUCAUGUGUGGCAUUGUUUCUUGAGGUCCAAAUCGUCCACAUGACAGUAACCAGUUUUGCUUUCUCAGACUCAGAGAACAUCGGAUCGCAAAUAACAUCCCGAGACCAUGUAAGUGGGUGCAACUCCGGUCGCUUGAUGUCAAGCCAGUACGGCGCCGCGUUCCAAAAACGUCUGGCGUGGGUGCAAUCCAAUAACGCAUGCUUCAUGUCUUCCUCUGCAUGAAGACACAGUUUGCAGGUGCCAAUGGUUGUGAUAUGGCGGUACAUGAGAGUAGAUUCAGCCGGAAGGAUCCCAUGCAACACCCGCCACCAGAACACUCUUACCCUUGGCAAAACCUUAAGCUUCCAUAAACGGGACCAUAACUGUCUGUCUGUCGAUGAAGUCUCGGUGAUCGUCCCUUCCUCUAGAGCCAGAUGCUCGUUACGAGUCAUUAGAGCAUGAUACGCCGAUUUUACAGUAUAGCAUCCUGACCGUUCGUGAGCCCAUGCAAGGACAUCAUCGCCCCCACCCCGCAUGAGAGGGAUGUUAAGAAUUGCAUCCGCAUCGGGGGUGAUAAAAUUUUGACGGACCACAUGCACCUUCCACGACCAAUUGACCGUAUCAAUAAGGUCUGAGACUGUUUGCAAUUGUGUAUUAGUGCUUCUGACAGUCGGAGUCAUAGAAAGGGUACCGGGAAUCCACUUAUCAUCCCAGAUAGAGACCGAACUGCCAUCUCCAAUGCGUUUGAUCAGACCAACUUGCAAAGAAUCCCUCCUUGCAAUGAUGGCACGCCACAUCGCCAAGGAAAACCGCGGGGUUGUAGCUUGCAUGAAAUCACAAGUGGGAAAAUAUCUCCCUUUGAGAACUCUAGCACAAAGCGAUGAUGGAUUCGUCAUCAGUCGCCAGCCAUGUUUGCCGAGAAGAGCUGUGUUGAAAAGCUCAAGAUCCCGGAAGCCCAUUCCGCCCUUCUCCUUUGGACUUGCCAAGGUCUGCCAGGCCUUCCAAUGCAGUGAAUUACGAUCCAGGGAGCUGCUCCACCAAUACUUAGCGAAGGAGGAAGUAAGGCUCUUACACACCUUCUUUGUUAACUUGAAGCAACUCAUGCUGAAAAUAGGUAUAGCUUGGGCUACAGUUCUUAUACGCACUUCCCUUCCAGCACAAGAAAUCAUUCUUUCUGACCCUCCUUGGAGUUUGCUUCGGAUCCUCUCUCCAAUAUGGUCAAAAGUACCGCUUGUGAUCCUAUCCACAACUAUAGGUAGACCAAGAUAACGAUCGCUGAAAGCUUCUACCGAAAUGUUCAGAGUUUGUUUCAGCAGUAGCUUAUCCGGGGCAGAGGUGUUUGGACUAAAAUAAAUUGAGCUUUUCUCUUUGUUGACAGCCUGCCCUGAGCCCCUCUCAUAAAUUCUCAAUAUCUCAUUGAGCCUUUGGUCACUAUCCACCUUUGCCUGCAUAAAAAUUAGACUGUCAUCCGCGAAGAGAAGAUGAUUAAUCCACGGAUAUCGGUAGCUGACUCGAAUGCCUUUGUCCACUCUCACACCACCAAAGUGGUUCAGAAGUGAAGUUAAACCUUCCGCACAUAGCAGGAAUAAGUACGGAGACGCUGGGCACCCCUGUCUUAGCCCCCUCGAGGGGGUGAAAAAAGGAAGAAGUUCGCCAUUCACCCAUAUUGAGAAUCUGACUGAGGUGACAUACUUCAUGACUAGGCGAACAAACUCCAUACAGAAACCAAGUUUCAACAUGAUCGCCUGCAAAUAAUGCCAUUCUACACGGUCGUAUGCUUUCAUCAUGUCCAACUUGAUAGCACAGACAGCAUUCUCCCCUUUUGUCACGCCCAAUAUGCGACCCUAUCCAAAAGGAACUCGAAGGUCCCACCAAGGAUAGACCCGCAUAUUGAAACGCUUUUGCAAGGUGGAUAUCAUUACAUCAACAUUACAUAAUAGAUGGGGAUACAUACAAGAGGCAAACCAUGCCACACGAAUACAACACCACAAUACAUCAGAGCAUCAUCCGACUACGGAUGAAUCACAAACAGAAACUCAAAAUACAUCCACCCUGCUAGCCCAGGCUGCCGACCUGGAACCUAUCCCCUGAUCGAAGAAGAAGCAGAAGAAGAACUCAUUGCAAGCAAGCAUCGCUCUCGCGUCAUGACCAUCGCAAAACCUCACCUGCAACUAUUGUUGUAGUAAUCUGUGAGCCACGAGGACUCAGCAAUCCCAUUACCAUGGGUAUCAAGACUAGCAAAGCUUAAUAGGAAAGGAAGGGGUAAAGUGGUGAGGCUGCAGCAGCGACUAAGCAUGAUAUGGUGGCUAACAUACGCAAAUAAGAGCGAGAAGAGAACAAAAGGAACGGUCGUGAAACUAGCAAUGAUCAAGAAGUGAUCCUGAACUCCUACUUACGUCAAACAUAACCCAGAAACCGUGUUCACUUCCCGGACUCCGCCGAGAAGAGACCAUCACGGCUACACACACGGUUGAUGCGUUUUAAUUCGGAUCUGGUGUCAAGUUAUCUACAACCGGACAUUAACAAAUUCCCAUAUGCCUAUAACCGCAGGCACGACUUUCGAAAGAUUAUACCCUACAAGGGUGUCCCAACUUAGCCCAUGACAAUCUCUCGCGAUCAACGAAGGAAUAGACCUUCUCCCAGGAAGACCCGAUCAGACUCGGAAUCCCGGUUUACAAGACAUUUCGACAAUGGUAAAACAAGACCAGCAAGACCGCCCGAUGCGCUGACAAUCCCGAUAGGAGCUGCACAUAUCUCGUUCUUAGGGCAACACCGGAUGAGCAAUCCGUACAACUAAAACCAAACCUCAAGUUUCCCUGAGGGGGCGCUGCAAAGGGCUCAGGUUCGGACCAACACUUAGACAAGCACUGGCCCGGGGGGCUAAAAUAAAGAUGACCCUCGGGUUGGCCGACCCAAGGGAAAGGGUUAGGUGGUGGUGAGGCAAAUGGUAAAACCAAGGUUGGGCCUUGCUGGAGGAGUUUUAUUCAAAGCGAACUGUCAAGGGGGUCCCAUAAAUCACCCGACCGCGUAAGGAACGCAAAAUCCGGGAACAUAACACCGGUAUGACGGAAACUAGGGCGGCAAGAGUGGAACAAAACACUAGGCAAAAGGCCAAGCCUUCCACCCUUUACCAAAUAUAUAGAUGCAUUAAUAAAAUAAGAGAUAUUGUGAUAUCCCAACCAAAAUCCUGUCCGCCAUGGAGCAAUCUUCAAACUUCACCUGCAACUAGCAACGCUAUAAGAGGGGAUGAGCAAAGCGGCAACAUAGCCAAACAACGGUUUGCAUAGGAAAGGUGUCAAAGGUUAGAGGUUCAUGGCUAUUUGGGAUGGCUUGAUAAACAGGUGAUAGGUAGCGCAACAAAGCGAUAGAACGAAGCAACUAGCAUAGCAAUGAUAGUAGUGAGAUCCAGGGUAGCGGUCAUCUUGCCUGAAAUCCCCCAAGGAAGAAGAACGAGUCCAUGAAGAAGACGAACGGACGAAGCCGAACCAAGCGUAGACGAACGAAUCCUCACGAUCGCAACGAAACAGGAACUAUCGAAAAGAAGCACAUAACAUAGUAAACACACCACACAUGAACAAGGCAUGAUGCACAAACAAGCAUGAUGCAUGACAAAGCUACAUGAAGCUACUCAUGGCAAGAGAUGAUGCAAACAAGAACAACACAUCAAGGCAAGUUUAAAUGAGGCCGGGAACAACAUAUAACAAUUCCGGAAAGUCCUCAUAUGCAUAUUUCGAAAUUGGUCCAGAUCUGAACAAACCUUAUGUUCAAGUAGUUAAACAUCAAGUUAAGAUGCACAAAGAUGAUCUACACGAGAUUCUAGUCAAGUUACAUAUAAAGUUCAUUAGAUUCGGAGCUACGGCCUAGAAGAUAUGGGCAAAACAAGUUAAACAUGGCAUUGAUACAAAAUGCACCCAAACAUCAAGCAAACACCUCAAAACAAGGAUGCAACAUGAUAAUAUGAAACUACAUGCAAUUCUAAGCAAGUUUCAUAUAGAGCACACUCAUAACGGGGCAAUGGUUCAACACAUGCACACUAUACAAGUCAUAGCAAUAAUCUGUCCAAAACAGCAACUAGACAUAUUGCAAGCAUCAAAACAAUAUGCUACAUCACCCCAACAUAAUAACAGAAGGCAUGGACAUGAUGUACAGGUAAAGCAUUACAAAACAUGAACACUGAACUAUCUCCAGAAAUCACUAGAACAUGUCCAAACACACAUGGUAAGAUUGCAAGUUAUUACAAUUCAGACUUUGCAGAAAAUAACAUCACGAUGCAAUGUUCAGAGCUAUCAAACAACAUGUUACAGGAACUUAUAAUGGCAAACAAAAGCAUGGCAUGAUUCUACUCAAAGCAUAGACCAAAAGUCCCUUACUGACCAUAAGCCAAAAAUGAUCAGAAAAUAUGAUGGCACCCACGUAAACAUAGCAAGUUAUUAUACAGAUUCAAACAUGGCAGAAACAUAAUUAUGAAGGCAUGUAAAUGAGCUUGUGCAACUCAUUACAGAACAAUACAUGGCAUGGCAAGGCAACCAGCAGUAAGAAGACAUAUUUGUGAAGCUAAGAAUGGCAAUAGCAAGGUCAUAGGAUGCAUGGAACACUAGCAAAACACAUGGGAACAAGUGAACUUAAUGUAAACAGGCUGACAACAACAUUAUGAAGCAACUUUGGAGCAAGAUUACAACAAGCUACAGCAGCCUAUAAAUGCAACCAGGGCCUUGGAUGGAUAGGGGAUGACAUGUAUAUCAAAACAUGUUUAUAGGCCAUAUCCAGAUUAUGCAUAGAAUGAUUAGUAGCAACAUGUUUAUAUAGCAUCGUGAAAUAACAGAUUCGGCCUAGCAAAACAGCAACAUCAUGAACACUACUUAACAAGCUCGAUUCACUCACCACAAGUCAUUGCAUGACAAGAUAAGCAUAGCAUCAUCAAGAAGGCAUGUCAUAGAAGCUAUACAUGGCAAGAAACAACAUCAUAGCAUAUCCGGACCAACUACAACAACCUCGGCCAAAUUGAAUAACAUGUAAACAAUCUGCCAGGAAACAUUUUGAAGCAAAAGUAGAGCACUCAAAUGAUAUGCUAGACUACUCCAUAAUUGCAACAAAGGGCAUGAAUGGAUAGAGCAUAACCACAUGUUCAAAACACCCUUACCGAAGUAUCUCAAAAUAUGCAUGGAUCUCUCUGUAGCAUCAAGUUUACAUGGCAUCAAAAUAACAGCAGAACAGGGACUAAAAUCAGCAACAUCACGAUGCCUAGUUUGCAUGCUUGUGCUAGUCACCACAUUGAUCACAAAGAUACAUGGCAUACACCACUGUAAAGAAGACAUGGCAUAGAUCAAAACACAUGAAGACAUCAACCUCAUAGGAUGCACACAUCAAUCAUGGCAAAAAUGACAAAAGAGCUCGUUCUGAUAACAGACAGCAGAAAACAUUAUGAAGCACUCUUACAACGAUGAUUCAGGCAUCAAUAUGACCUCAAAUGAAUAUGAUGCAAUGGAAUGGAAUGAUCUACUCGUCGAGACGAACAAUUCGACAUAUUACACGCAUGAAACGGAGCUACGGAUGCAGAGAUACGGCAUGACGAACAUGGCAUGAAAAUUACUCAAACUGGNNNNNNNNNNNNNNNNNNNNNNNNNNNNNNNNNNNNNNNNNNNNNNNNNNNNNNNNNNNNNNNNNNNNNNNNNNNNNNNNNNNNNNNNNNNNNNNNNNNNNNNNNNNNNNNNNNNNNNNNNNNNNNNNNNNNNNNNNNNNNNNNNNNNNNNNNNNNNNNNNNNNNNNNNNNNNNNNNNNNNNNNNNNNNNNNNNNNNNNNNNNNNNNNNNNNNNNNNNNNNNNNNNNNNNNNNNNNNNNNNNNNNNNNNNNNNNNNNNNNNNNNNNNNNNNNNNNNNNNNNNNNNNNNNNNNNNNNNNNNNNNNNNNNNNNNNNNNNNNNNNNNNNNNNNNNNNNNNNNNNNNNNNNNNNNNNNNNNNNNNNNNNNNNNNNNNNNNNNNNNNNNNNNNNNNNNNNNNNNNNNNNNNNNNNNNNNNNNNNNNNNNNNGACGUGGCGUCCCCGGAUUGGUCCGGGCGACGUGGAGGCUGGGGUGGACGUGUCCGGCCGCCGGGCGGACAUGUCCGGCGGCGCGAGGAGGGAGAGGGCUAGGGUUUCGGGGGAUCAACCGUGAAUUUCAGGGAGAGGCAUAUAUUUAUAGGUAGAGAGAGCUAGGAGAGUCCAAAUGAGGAGCGGUUUUCGGCCACGUGAUCGUGAUCGAACGACCGAGAGCAUGGAGGGGAGUUAGAUGGGUUUUGGGCCAGUUUGGAAGGGGUGUUGGGAUGCAAGGAGAGAGGGUCUUUACGGUUACCCGGUUAACCGUUGGAGUACCAAACGACCUCCAAAUGGCACGAAACUUGACAGGCGAUCUACCGGUGCUAUACCGAGGCCACUUAGCAAGCCUCGGGCCAUUCCGAGAAAGUUUAGCACCCACUCACAACGAGAGACGAAAGGGGAACACCGGAGGACAUAGGAGCACCGGAUUGCAAAAUGGACAACGGGGAAAAGGCUCGGAUGCAUGAGACGAACACGUAUGCAAAAUGAAAUGCACAUGAUGACAUGAUAAAAUGCAACACGCAAGAAAAUGACAUGGCAAUGACAUGGCAACGACGGCGAAUAACUGGCAGACACCUGGCGCAUCGGAACCGGGGCGUUACAACACUCCUCCACUAACAAGAGAUCUCGUCCCGAGAUCUUAGGACCGAGACGGAAGGGAAAAAGGGAUGAGGUGAAACAAGAACUGAAGAGAAGAAGCAAGGAAUCAAGAGCAUUCGAGAAGAAGAAGGAACGACGAGAAUGACGAGAAUCGAAAGCUCACGAAAUCAGAUAGGCUAAGAAAGCACUCAUUCUAACCGGAGUGGUUAGAAUGAGAUAAGAAACGAAUAAGACUGAAAGGAUUUAGGCAGCACUCCGACUGAAACAUGGAGGAAUAGAACAUGAACUUCACCCAAAGAGAUGGCACUUGACGAGAUGAACAAAGCAAUGCCUCCGGAAGAAUUGAAAGAAUUGAAUGAAAAGAACUUAGAAGGAAAGGUUGAACGGAUUUGUUGAGAAAAUCAACAACGAAAGGAUAAGCUUGUUGUGGACUUAUGGAGAACAUCUCAAAAUUAUGAGGUGAUAACCGACCACAAACGGAAAUGAUUGGAUAACUUAGAAGAACGAAGAAAUGCAAAACUCCACUUCCAAAAGAAUUACGGAGAAUUAAUUGCACUUCGAGAUGCGAGAAGAAAAGAUACUUGAACUCCACCAACAAGAAUCUUGAUGAACUCUUGAAGAAUGAAUUAAAUCAUGAAGAACCACCAUGAACUCCGGUAACAAAAGAAUGACGAGAUAAAAUUGAAGGAUGAAAGAAUAAGAUGAGCCUUGCGAUGAUUUAGAUGGAGGUUCCGACAAAAAGACCGAGGAAGAUUGAACUCCGGAAAAGAAAAGAUGAAAACACUUGAACUAGAAUUUAUUCCUCACGAACAAACUCUGAAGGAAGGGAUUAUUCACUUGGAUGAAAUAAGAAUAAGAUUUAUUGUAUGCUUAUCCUUCAUCAAAAUAAAUUGAUGACAAGCAAUGGAUUUUGUAUACUACUUAUUCUUCUUGAAAAGGAUUGAGAAGUGACAUAUCGCAAACUUGAGAAGGUCUUCAUGAACCACCGGUAGGAUUGAAAAGAACGAAUGGAUUAAAAUGAUAAACAAAGAAAAAGAAUCUUGAACGAACCACCGUAAGAAUUCGAAAAUGACUGACGAAAGAGGAUGAAUCACCGGGAAGAAUUGGAAGAACAAAUAUGCUUGAGGGAAUUUAGAUGCACAAGAACGAAGAGAUAACGAGCUGAUUAAAGAGCACUUGAAUGAAGCACCGGGAUAACAGAGAAUGAUAACUGGACUGAUGGCCUCCGGUGAAAAGAAACGGGAAACCAACUCCUGAAAUACUCCGGAUGGAUAAGAAAGAAUAUCUGGCACACUGAAAUAAAUCGAGAGGAUGAGUAUGAAAAACUCUUCUUCGAUCUUCAAAUGACGACGAGAAACACCGCAAAAAUUCCCGAGAUACUCCGGGAGAACAAAAAGCGAAGAGGUUGAGGCAACAAAGGAAAAUGAUUUGAAAACGAUCUUGGAAAAGCAUCUUACUGAUGGAAUCCAUUCUUAUGUCACACUUUGAAAAGAAUUGAGAAUAACUCCGGGGGAAUUAGAAGAGUCAGGUAAGAUCCUGGAAAAAGACCUGUGGGUUAUGGGCCCACUAAAAGAAAACACCGUUGGAAAGGAUGAUGAACAGAUAGAUGAUGCACCGGAACAAUUGAAAUAUUUGAAUGAGGUGACAGCCUCGAAUUUAUUGGAACAGAUACGAAUCUCCUGAGAUGUCUUGAACACUCCGGAAGGAUAAACUGGCGAGAGGCGAACGAGCAAGGAGAACACUUCGAGUAAAAGAAUAUGAUCAACCCGAAAAACUUGAAUUGAAUCCACCGGAAAGGAAAAGAGAUGAAGAAUGACGAACGAAACGAGAAUUCACCGGUUGAAACAAUUGACGAAAACUGAAGAGGCUCCACACGAAUGAAAAUUGAUGCUCGAAAGAGCUCCGGAGGGUGGGAGGGCGGGAAAACAAAGACAACUUGGAAGGGGAAUCGACGAAUAUCUUGAAGAGAAAACACUGGUUGAAAUCAUUGAGGAAAGAAAGCAAAGGCUUCGCAGGAGUAGGAUGGAUACUCGAUUACGGACUCCGGUUCUGAGAAGAAGAACAGGGAGGGCGGGUGGGAAAAGAAAACAACUGAGGAUUGAACUCAAAGAUGAAGAGGCUCGAGUCAACUUGACGAGAAAUGCACCGGAUGAAAAGAGCUGAGAACCAACGACCAGAAAACCAACUGCGUGAUCCUAAAGAAAAAUUUGAAGGGGAAGAGGAGUAAUCCGAAACACCUACGUCAAGAUUCCUUUCUAGAGCGACGAAGGGACCGAGGAGUAAAAAGAAUUCCUACUCUCCGAUAUAACUAGACUCCGAAAACAGUUUAUUCUAGACUCAACAUCGGCCAAACUACACGAUCAAUCAAGGGGGCUCCUAGGGUCGGUCGAGGCUCUGAUACCAACUUGUCAUGCCCAAUAUGCGACCCUAUCCAAAAGGAACUCGAAGGUCCCACCAAGGAUAGACCCGCGUAUUGAAACGCUUUUGCAAGGUGGAUAUCAUUACAUCAACAUUACAUAAUAGAUGGGGAUACAUACAAGAGGCAAACCAUGCCACACGAAUACAACACCACAAUACAUCAGAGCAUCAUCCGACUACGGAUGAAUCACAAACAGAAACUCAAACGACAUCCAUCCUGCUAGCCCAGGCUGCCGACCUGGAACCUAUCCCCUGAUCGAAGAAGAAGCAGAAGAAGAACUCAUUGCAAGCAAGCAUCGCUCUCGCGUCAUGACCAUCGCAAAACCUGCACCUGCAACUGUUGUUGUAGUAAUCUGUGAGCCACGAGGACUCAGCAAUCCCAUUACCAUGGGUAUCAAGACUAGCAAAGCUUAAUAGGAAAGGAAGGGGUAAAGUGGUGAGGCUGCAGCAGCGACUAAGCAUGAUAUGGUGGCUAACAUACACAAAUAAGAGCGAGAAGAGAACAAAAGGAACGGUCGUGAAACUAGCAAUGAUCAAGAAGUGAUCCUGAACUCCUACUUACGUCAAACAUAACCCAGAAACCGUGUUCACUUCCCGGACUCCGCCGAGAAGAGACCAUCACGGCUACACACACGGUUGAUGCGUUUUAAUUCGGAUCUGGUGUCAAGUUAUCUACAACCGGACAUUAACAAAUUCCCAUAUGCCUAUAACCGCAGGCACGGCUUUCGAAAGAUUAUACCCUGCAGGGGUGUCCCAACUUAGCCCAUGAUAAUCUCUCGCGAUCAACGAAGGAAUAGACCUUCUCCCAGGAAGACCCGAUCAGACUCGAAAUCCCGGUUUACAAGACAUUUCGACAAUGGUAAAACAAGACCAGCAAGACCGCCCGAUGCGCUGACAAUCCCGAUAGGAGCUGCACAUAUCUCGUUCUCAGGGCAACACCGGAUGAGCAAUCCGUACAACUAAAACCAAACCUCAAGUUUCCCUGAGGGGGCGCUGCAAAGGGCUCAGGUUCGGACCAACACUUAGACAAGCACUGGCCCGGGGGGCUAAAAUAAAGAUGACCCUCGGGUUGGCCGACCCAAGGGAAAGGGGUAGAUGGUGGUGAGGCAAAUGGUAAAACCAAGGUUGGGCCUUGCUGGAGGAGUUUUAUUCAAAGCGAACUGUCAAGGGGGUCCCAUAAAUCACCCGACCGCGUAAGGAACGCAAAAUCCGGGAACAUAACACCGGUAUGACGGAAACUAGGGCGGCAAGAGUGGAACAAAACACUAGGCAAAAGGCCAAGCCUUCCACCCUUUACCAAAUAUAUAGAUGCAUUAAUAAAAUAAGAGAUAUUGUGAUAUCCCAACCAAAAUCCUGUCCGCCAUGGAGCAAUCUUCAAACUUCACCUGCAACUAGCAACGCUAUAAGAGGGGAUGAGCAAAGCGGUAACAUAGCCAAACAACGGUUUGCAUAGGAAAGGUGUCAAAGGUUAGAGGUUCAUGGCUAUUUGGGAUGGCUUGAUAAACAGGUGAUAGGUAGCGCAGCAAAGCAAUAGAACGAAGCAACUAGCAUAGCAAUGAUAGUAGUGAGAUCCAGGGUAGCGGUCAUCUUGCCUGAAAUCCCCCAAGGAAGAAGAACGAGUCCAUGAAGAAGACGAACGGACGAAGCCGAACCAAGCGUAGACGAACGAAUCCUCACGAUCGCAACGAAACAGGAACUAUCGAAAAGAAGCACACAACAUAGUAAACACACCACACAUGAACAAGGCAUGAUGCACAAACAAGCAUGAUGCAUGACAAAGCUACAUGAAGCUACUCAUGGCAAGAGAUGAUGCAAACAAGAACAACACAUCAAGGCAAGUUUAAAUGAGGCCGGGAACAACAUAUAACAAUUCCGGUAAGUCCUCAUAUGCAUAUUUCGAAAUUGGUCCAGAUCUUAACAAACCUUAUGUUCAAGUAGUUAAACAUCAAGUUAAGAUGCACAAAGAUGAUCUACACGAGAUUCUAGUCAAGUUACAUAUAAAGUUCAUUAGAUUCGGAGCUACGGCCUAGAAGAUAUGGGCAAAACAAGUUAAACAUGGCAUUGAUGCAAAAUGCAACCAAACAUCAAGCAAACACCUCAAAAAAAGGAUGCAACAUGAUAAUAUGAAACUACAUGCAAUUCUAAGCAAGUUUCAUAUAGAGCACACUCAUAACGGGGCAACGGUUCAACACAUGCACACUAUACAAGUCAUAGCAAUAAUCUGUCCAAAACAGCAACUAGGCAUAUUGCAAGCAUCAAAACAAUAUGCUACAUCACCCCAACAUAAUAACAAAAGGCAUGGACAUGAUGUACAGGUAAAGCAUUACAAAACAUGAACAUUGAACUAUCUCCAGAAAUCACUAGAACAUGUCCAAACACACAUGGUAAGAUUGCAAGUUAUUACAAUUCAGACUUUGCAGAAAAUAACAUCACGAUGCAAUGUUCAGAGCUAUCAAACAACAUGUUACAGGAACUUAUAAUGGCAAACAAAGGCUUGGCAUGAUUUUACUCAAAGCAUAGAUCAAUAGUCCCUUACUGACCAUAAGUCAAAAAGGAUCAGAAAAUAUGAUGGCACCCACGUAAACAUAGCAAGUUAUUAUACAGAUUCAAACAUGGCAGAAACAUAAUUAUGAAGGCAUGUAAAUGAGCUUGUGCAACUCACUACAGAACAAUACAUGGCAUGGCAAGGCAACCAGCAGUAAGAAGACAUAUUUGUGAAGCUAAGAAUGGCAAUAGCAAGGUCAUAGGAUGCAUGGAACACUAGCAAAACACAUGGGAACAAGUGAACUUAAUGUAAACAGGCUGACAACAACAUUAUGAAGCAACUUUGGAGCAAGAUUACAACAAGCUACAGCAGCCUAUAAAUGCAACCAGGGCCUUGGAUGGAUAGGGGAUGACAUGUAUAUCAAAACAUGUUUAUAGGACAUAUCCAGAUUAUGCAUAGAAUGAUUAGUAGCAACAUGUUUAUAUAGCAUCGUGAAAUAAUAGAUUCAGCCUAGCAAAACAGCAACAUCAUGAACACUACUUAACAAGCUCGAUUCACUCACCACAAGUCAUUGCAUGACAAGAUAAGCAUAGCAUCAUCAAGAAGGCAUGUCAUAGAAGCUAUACAUGGCAAGAAACAACAUCAUAGCAUAUCCAGACCAACUACAACAACCUCGGCCAAAUUGAAUAACAUGUAAACAAUCUGCCAAGAAACAUUUUGAAGCAAAAGUAGAGCACUCAAAUGACAUGCUAGACUACUCCAUAAUUGCAACAAAGGGCAUGAAUGGAUAGAUCAUAACCACAUGUUCAAACCACCCUUACUGAAGUAUCUCAAAAUAUGCAUGGAUCUCUUUGUAGCAUCAAGUUUACAUGGCAUCAAAAUAACAGCAGAACAGGGACUAAAAUCAGCAACAUCACGAUGCCUAGUUUGCAUGCUUGUGCUAGUCACCACAUUGAUCACAAAAAUACAUGACAUACACCACUGUAAAGAAGACAUGGCAUAGAUCAAAACACAUGAAGACAUCAACCUCAUAGGAUGCACACAUCAAUCAUGGCAAAAAUGACAAAAGAGCUCGUUCUGAUAACAGACAGCAGAAAACAUUAUGAAGCAGUCUUACAACAAUGAUUCAGGCAUCAAUAUGACCUCAAAUGAAUAUGAUGCAAUGGAAUGGAAUGAUCUACUCGUCAAGACAAACUAUUCGACAUAUUACACGCACGAAACGGAGCUACGGAUGCAGAGAUACGGCAUGACGAACAUGGCAUGAAAAUUACUCAAACUAGGGACUUAGUGAAAAAAAAAUAGACCUCGGGGGGGGGGGGUUUGCUAGACGGACAUGUCCGGGCUCCUCCGGACAUGUCCGGCGUGGACGGAGGAGCAGACGACGGGGAGGCCGAGGAGGCCGACCAUGGCGGCGCGGCACUCCGGUGAGGUUGGAGGAGGCCAGGGAGGCGACGACGAGGUGGCCCCGGACCGAAUCUGGCCGGAUCCGGCCGACAGCGAGUGGCGGAACCUGGCUGGAGGCGGAGCGCGCGCCGGCGGAGGAAGCCGGGCCUUCGGGCGCAGAGGCGGGAGGUCAGAGGAGGCCGGGCGAAGCAGGUCGCCGACGGCGGAGCUUCGGCNNNNNNNNNNNNNNNNNNNNNNNNNNNNNNNNNNNNNNNNNNNNNNNNNNNNNNNNNNNNNNNNNNNNNNNNNNNNNNNNNNNNNNNNNNNNNNNNNNNNNNNNNNNNNNNNNNNNNNNNNNNNNNNNNNNNNNNNNNNNNNNNNNNNNNNNNNNNNNNNNNNNNNNNNNNNNNNNNNNNNNNNNNNNNNNNNNNNNNNNNNNNNNNNNNNNNNNNNNNNNNNNNNNNNNNNNNNNNNNNNNNNNNNNNNNNNNNNNNNNNNNNNNNNNNNNNNNNNNNNNNNNNNNNNNNNNNNNNNNNNNNNNNNNNNNNNNNNNNNNNNNNNNNNNNNNNNNNNNNNNNNNNNNNNNNNNNNNNNNNNNNNNNNNNNNNNNNNNNNNNNNNNNNNNNNNNNNNNNNNNNNNNNNNNNNNNNNNNNNNNNNNNNNNNNNNNNNNNNNNNNNNNNNNNNNNNNNNNNNNNNNNNNNNNGGGAGGGCCCCGGAUGGGCCCCGGCGGGCCGGCGCGGUGGGAGGCGCGGCGGGGACGCGUGGGAGGCGCUGGUUGGGCGGGGGCGGCGGCGCGAUGAUGUGGCGUCCCCGGAUUGGUCCGGGCGACGUGGAGGCUGGGGUGGACGUGUCCGGCCGCCGGGCGGACAUGUCCGGCGGCGCGAGGAGGGAGAGGUCUAGGGUUUCGGGGGAUCAACCGUGAAUUUCGGGGAGAGGCAUAUAUUUAUAGGUAGAAGGAGCUAGGAGAGUCCAAAUGAGGAGCGGUUUUCGGCCACGCGAGCGUGAUCGAACGACUGAGAGCAUGGAGGGGAGUUAGAUGGGUUUUGGGCCAGUUUGGAAGGGGUGUUGGGCUGCAAGGAGAGAGGGGCUUUACGGUUACCCGGUUAACCGUUGGAGUACCAAACGACCUCCAAAUGGCACGAAGCUUGACAGGCGGUCUACCGGUGCUAUACCGAGGCCACUUGGCAAGCCUCGGGCCAAUCCGAGAAAGUUUAGCACCCACUCACAACGAGAGACGAAAGGGGAACGCCGGAGGACAUAGGAGCGCCGUAUUGCAAAAUGGACAAUGGGGAAAAGGCUCGGAUGCAUGAGACGAACACGUAUGCAAAAUGAAAUGCACAUGAUGACAUGAUAAAAUGCAACACGCAAGCAAAUGACAUGACAAUGACAUGGCAACGACGGUGAAUAACUGGCAGACACCUGGCGCAUCGGAACCGGGGCGUUACACCUUUCUUCCUUCUUCUCAUCGCAUGCACACUUUCAUGUGCAAUUAGCACAUUGUCAGUUAUCAGGCGACCAGGGACAAACGCACUUUGUUCAACACUGAUAAUAUCAUCCAAGAACUCUCGGAGACGGUUAGCAAUGGCCUUGGAGGCGAUCUUAUAUAAAACCGGACAGAGAGAAAUAGGAUGAUAUUGAGUGAUACUUUGUGGGAAUCGUACCUUGGGGAUCAAUGUGAUAGAAGUGUCGUUUAUCCCUGGUGGUAGUUCUCCCCCAUUAAGAAAGUCAAGCACCGCUGGAAUAAUGUCGUCUUUGAGCCAACUCCAGUGACGCUGAAAAAACCCAGCCGUGAAACCAUCCACCCCCGGGUCCUUCGAGGGAGCCAUCUGGAAAAGGGCUCGGCGCACCUCCUCCUCUGUAAACGGCUUGCUAAGUGCAUCGUUCAUAACAGGAGUCACCCGUGGCUGUACAACAUCCAGCAAUUCAUCCAUCUGAUGAAAACCUUGCGAGGUAUAUAACUUCUCAUAGAACUGCUGCACCUCCGCACGAUCUUCCUCCAAACUAGUACACACCGAUCCUUCACUACGGACAAGAUUUUCUACCUUAUUCAUGCGCUUGCGCUGGGCGGCUCGGGCCCGAAAAUAACCCGUGUUUCGGUCCCCUUCUCGCAGCCAUGGAACACAUGAUCGCUGACGGAGCCAAAUUUCUUCUUGAUGCAGAGCCAGCUUAAGUUUCUGAGCCACCGCUUUCUCUUCUUCAGUAGGUCCCCGUCGCAAAGGAUUGGCACGCAGUCGGGAGAGCUGCUCUCGCAACUUCCUAAUCUUGCGUGACAAACAUCCAAACUCCUUCGCUCCCCACACCGCUAGGUUGCCCUGAAGAGCUGUGAGAGCUUGAGUCACUUCUCGUAGUCCUUCCCGGCCUGCCCCCUUCUGCCAUGAGUCAAAUACCAGCUUGUCAUAGUCCACGUGCGUCUGCCACAUGUCCUCAUAUCUAAAAGGUUUUGGCCCUCUGGGCACUACCGUUUCCAAGUGCUCGCGGAGAUCCGCUAACACAAAACAAUGAUCUGACUCCGUUGUUACUAUAUGUCUGACCUUAAUGUGUGAAAACAUCUAUAAGAGAGCGGAGUUACCAAAUGCCCGAUCCAGCCGGGCUCUCACAUUCGAUCUGCCGAACUGCAUGUUAUCCCAUGUGUAUUCAGUUCCCGACCAACCCAAAUCAAUAAGAGAACAAUCGUCCGUCACUUCCCUAAAUGCCCUCAUUUUCCACUCCGGUCUGGGAGUUCUGGAAAAGUGCUCUGAACCAUUCAAGGUCUCGUUGAAAUCUCCAAUGCACAUCCAUGCAUCAUGUUGAAUUGCAUAUAGUGUCCUCAUAAACCUCCAGCUAUGAUGACGAUGUUGGGGAACGUAGCAGAAAUUCAAAAUUUUCCUAUGAGUCACCAAGAUCUAUCUAUGGAGAGACUAGCAACAAGAGAAAGGAGAGUGCAUCUACAUACCCUUGUAGAUCGCUAAGAGGAAGCGUUCAAGAGAACGGGGUUGAAGGAGUCGUACUCGUCGUGAUCCAAAUCACCGGAGAUCCUAGUGCCGAACGGACGGCACCUUUGCGUUCAACACACGUACAACCCGGUGAAGUCUCCCAUGCCUUGAUACAGCAAGGAGAGAGGAAGAGGUUGGGGAAGACUCCGUCCAGCAGCAGCACAACAGCAUGGUGGUGAUGGAGGAGCAUGGUAUUCCAGCAGGGCUUCGCCAAGCACCGCGAGAUAUGAGGAGAAAGAGAGGUAGGGCAGCGCCAGGGAGAGGUGGAAACUCUUGUCUCUGGCAGCCCCAAAACCUCAAGUAUAUAUAGGGGAGAGGGAGGGGGCUGCGCCCCCUCUAGGGUUCCCACCCCUAGGGGUGCGGCAACCCAAAACCCAUCUAGGGUGGCGGCCAAGGGGGGGGGGGGAGGCGGAAACUUGCCCCCCCCCCCAAGCAAAGUGGGGCGCCCCCUCCCCAAACCCUAGGCGCCUUGGGCCCUUGUGGGGGGAGGGGGGCGCACCAGCCCACCUCGGGCUGGUCCCCUCCCACACUUGGCCCAUGCUGCCCUCUGGGGCUGGUGGCCCCACUUGGUGGACCCCCGGGACCCUCCCGGUGGUCCCGGUACGUUACCGAUAUCACCUCAAACUUUUCCGGUGACCAAGACAAGACUUCCCAUAUAUAAAUCUUUACCUCCGGACCAUUCCGGAACUCCUCGUGACGUCCGGGAUCUCAUCCGGGACUCCUAACAAUAUUCGGUAACCACGUAUAUCUAUUCCCUAUAACCCUAGCAUCAUCGAACCUUAAGUGUGUAGACCCUACGGGUUCGGGAACCAUGCAGACAUGACCGAGACAACUCUCCGAUCAAUAACCAACAGCGGGAUCUGGAUACCCAUGUUGGAUCCCACAUGUUCCAUGAUGAUCUCAUCGGAUGAACCGCGAUGUCAAGGACUCAAUCAAUCCCGUAUACAAUUCUCUUUGUCUAAUGGUAUUGUACUUGCCCGAGAUUCGAUCGUCGGUAUCCCGAUACCUUGUUCAAUCUUGUUACCAGCAAGUCUCUUUACUCGUUUCGUAACACAUCAUCCCGUGAUCAACCCCUUGGUCACAUUGUGCACACUAUGAUGAUGUCCUACCGAGUGGGCCCAGAGAUACCUCUCCGUCACACGGAGUGACAAAUCCCAGUCUCGAUUCGUGCCAACCCAACAGACACUUUCGGAGAUACCCGUAGUGCACCUUUAUAGCCACCCAUUUACGUUGUGACGUUUGGUACACCCAAAGCAUUCCUAUGGUAUCCGGGAGUUGCACAAUCUCAUGGUCUAAGGAAAUGAUACUUGACAUUAGAAAAGCUUUAGCAUACGAACUACACGAUCUUUGUGCUAGGCUUAGGAUUGGGUCUUGUCCAUCACAUCAUUCUCCUAAUGAUGUGAUCCCAUUAUCAACGACAUCCAAUGUCCAUGGUCAGGAAACCGUAACCAUCUAUUGAUCAACGAGCUAGUCAACUAGAGGCUUACUAGGGACAUGGUGUUGUCUAUGUACCCACACAUGUAUUUGAGUUUCCUAUCAAUACAAUUAUAGCAUGGAUAAUAAACGAUUAUCAUGAACAAGGAAAUAUAAUAAUAAUAACUAAUUUAUUAUUGCCUCUUGGGCAUAUUUCCAACAGUCUCCCACUUGCACUAGAGUCAAUAAUCUAGUUCACAUCGCCAUGUGAUUAAACUUGAUAGGUCACAUCGCCAUGUGACCAACAUCCAAAGAGUUUACUAGUGUCACUAAACUAGUUCACACCAUCAUGUGAUUAAGACUCAAUGAGUUUUGGGGUUUGAUCAUGUUUUGCUUGUAAGAGAGGUUUUAGUCAACGGAUCUGCAACAAUCAGAUCCGUAUGUACUUCGCAAAUCUCUAGGUCAUAUUGUAAAUGCCGCUUCCACGCUCCACUUGGAGCUAUUCCAAAUGGUUGCUCCACUAUACGUAUCUGGUUUGCUACUCAGAGUCAGUCGGAUAGGUGUUAAAGCUUGCAUCGACGUAACCCUUUACGCCGAACUCUUUAUCACCUCCAUAAUCGAGAAACAUGUCCUUAUUUACUCCAAGGACAAUUUUGACCGCUGUCCAAUGAUCCAUUCCUGGAUCAUUCUUGUACCCCUUGACUGACUCAUGGCAAGGCACACUUCCGGUGCGGUACACAGCAUAGCAUACUAUAGAGCCUACGUCUGAAGCAUAGGGGACGACCUUCGUCCUUUCUCUCUAUUCUGCCGUGGUCGAGCUUUAAGUCUUAACUUCAUACCUUACAAUUCUAGCAAGAACUCCUUCUUUGACUGAUCCAUCUUGAACACCUUCAAGAUCAUGUCAAGGUAUGUGCUCAUUUGAAAGUACCAUUUAGCGUUUUUUGAUCUAUCCUCAUAAAUCUUGAUGCUCAAUGUUCAAGCAGCUUAAUCCAGGUUUUCUAUUGAAAAACACCUUUCAAACAACCCUAUAUGCUUUCCAAAAAUUCUACAUCAUUUCUGAUCAACAAUAUGUCAACAACAUAUACUUAUCAGAAAUUCUAUAGUGCUCCCACUCACUUCUUUGGAAAUACAAAUUUCUCAUAAACUUUGUAUAAACCCAAAAUCUUUGAUCAUCUCAUCAAAGCGUACAUUCCAACUCCGAGAUGCUUACUCCAGUCCUUAGAAGGAUCGCCGAAGCUAGCAUACCUCUUAGCAUCCUUAGGAUCGACAAACUUUCUGAUGUCGCAUACAACCUUUCCUUACGAAAACUGGUAAGGGAACUCGUUUUGACAUCCAUUUGGCAGAUUUCAUAAAUGCAGCUAAUGCUAGCAUGAUUCCGACGGACUUAAGCAUCGCUACAGAUGAGAAAAUCUCAUUGUAGUCAACUUCCUUGAACUUGUGAAAAACUCUUCGCCACAAGUCGAGCUUCACAGACGGUGACAUUACCGUCCACGUCCGUCUUCUUCUUAAAGAUCAAUUUAUCUCAAUGGCUUGCCGAUCAUCGGGCAAGUCCACCAAAGUCCAUGCUUUGUUCUGAUACAUGGAUCCUAUCUCGGAUUUCAUGGCUUCUAACCAUUUGUCGAAAUAUGGGCCCACCAUUGCUUCUCCAUAGCUCGUAGGUUCAUUGUUGUAUAGCAACAUGACCUUCAAGACAGGAUUACUAUACCACUCUGAAGUAGUACGCAUCCUUGUCACUCUACGAGGUACGACAGUGACUUGAUCUGAAACUUCAUGAUCACUAUCAUAAGCUUCUACAUCAAUUGGUGUAGGCACCACAGGAACAACUUCUUGUGCCCUGCUACACACUAGUUGAAGUGACGGUUCAAUAACCUCAUCAAGUCUCCACCAUCCUCCCACUCAAUUCUUUCGAGACAAACUUUUCCUCGAGAAAGGAUCCGAUUCAAGAAACAAUCCCUAUUGCUUUCGGAUCUGAAUUAGGAGGUAUACCCAACUAUUUUUGGGUGUCCUAUGAAGAUGCAUUUUAUCCGCUUUGGGUUCGAGCUUAUCAACCUGAAACUUUUUCACAUAAGCGUCGCAGCCCCAAACCUUUAAGAAAUGACAACUUAGGUUUCUCCAAACCAUAGUUCAAACGGUGUCGUCUCAACGGAAUUACAUGGUGCCCUAUUAAAGUGAGUGCGGUUGUCUCUAAUGCCUAACCCAUGAACGAUAGUGGUAAUUUGAUAAGAGACAUCAUGGUACGCACCAUAUCCAAUAGGGUGCAACUAUGAUGUUCGGACACACCAUCACACUAUGGUGUUCCAAGCGGUAUUAAUUGUGAAACAAUUUCCACAGUGUCUUAAUUGCGUGACAAAGCUCGUAACUCAGAUACUCAUCUCUAUGAUCAUAUCAUAGACAUUUUAUCCUCUUGUCACGAUGAUCUUCAACUUCACUCUGAAAUUACUUGAACCAUUCAAUAAUUCAGACUUGUGUUUCAUCAAGUAAAUAUACUCAGUAUCUACUCAAAUCAUCCGUGAAGUAAGAACAUAACGAUAUCCACCGCGUGCCUCAGCACUCAUUGGACUGCACACAUCAAAAUGUAUUACUUCCAACAAGUUGCUUUCUUGUUCCAUUUUACUGAAAACGAGGCUUUUAGUCAUCUUGCCCAUGUGGUAUGAUUUGCAUGUCUCAAGUGAUUCAAAAUCAAGUGAGUCCAAACGGUCCAUUUGCAUGGAGUUUCUUCAUGCAUAUACACCAAUAGACAUGGUUCGCAUGUCUCAAACUUUUCAAAACGAGUGAGUCCAAAGAUCCAUCAACAUGGAGCUUCUUCAUGCGUUUUAUACCAAUAUGACUCAGUGCCACAAGUAUGUGGUACUAUCAUUACUAUCUUAUAUCUUUUGGCUUGAAUAUGUGUAUCACUAUGAUCGAGAUUCAAUAAACCAUUCAUUUUAGGUGCAACACCAGUGAAGGUAUUAUUCAAAUAAACAGAGUAACCAUUAUUCUCCUUAAAUGAACAACCGUAUUGCGAUAGACAUAAUCCAAUCAUGUCUAUGCUCAACGCAAAUGCCAAAUAACAAUUAUUUAGGUUUAACACCAAUCUCGAUGGUAGAGGGAGCGUGCGAUGCUUGAUCACAUCAACCUUGGAAACACUUCCAACACAUAUCGUCAGCUCACCUUUAGCUAGUCUCCGUUUAUUCCGUAGCUUUUAUUUCGAGUUACCAACACUUAGCAACCGAACCGGUAUCUAAUACCCUGGUGCUACUAGGAGUACUAGUAAAGUACACAUUAACAUAAUGUAUAUCCAAUAUACUUCCGUCGACCUUGCCUGCCUUCUUAUCUACUAAGUAUCUAGGGUGGUUCUGCUUUAGUGUCCGUUCCUCUCAUUACAGAAGCACUUAGUCUCGGGUUUGUGUUCAACCUUGGGUUUUCACUAGAGCAGCAACUGUUUUGCCGUUUCAUAAAGUAUCCCUUCUUGCCCUUGCCCUUCUUGAAACUAGUGGUUUUACCAACCAUCAACAAUUGAUGCUCCUUCUUGAUUUCUACUUUCACGGUGUCAAACAUCGCGAAUAUCUCAAGGAUCAUCAUAUCUAUCCCUGAUAUGUUAUAGUUCAUCACGAAGCUCUAGCAACUUGGUGGCAAUGACUUUGGAGAAACAUCACUAUCUCAUCUGGAAGAUCAACUCCCACUCGAUUCAAGUGAUUGUUGUACUCAGACAAUAUGAGCACAAGCUCAACGAUUGAGCUUUUCUCCCUUAGUUAGGCUAAGAAAAUUGUCGAAGGUCUUAUACCUCUUGACGUGGGCACGAGCCUAAAAUCCCAAUUUUAGCCCUCGAAACAUCUCACAUGUUCCGCGACGUUUCGAAAUCAUCUUUGGUGCCUCAUCUCUAUACCGUUUAACUGAACUAUCAUGUAGUUAUCAAAACGUGUAUGUCAAAUGUCCGCAACAUCCACAGACGACGUUUGAGGUUCAGCACACCGAGCGGUGCAUUAAGGACAUAAGCCUUCUAUGAAGCAAUGAGGACAAUCCUCAGUUUACGGACCCAGUCCGCAUAAUUGCUACUAUCAACUUUAUUUUCUCUAGGAACAUAUCUAAAACAGUAGAACUAAAGCGCGAGCUACGACAUAAUUUGCAAGAAUCUUUUUGACUAUGUUCAGGAUAAUUAAGUUCAUCUUACGAACUCCCACUCAGAUAGACAUCCCUCUAGUCAUCUAAGUGAUUACAUGAUCCGAGUCAACUAGGCCGUGUCCGAUCAUCAUGUGAGACGGACUAGUCAUCAUUGGUGAACAUAUUCAUAUUGAUCGUAUCCACUAUACGACUCAUGCUCGACCUUUCGGUCUCUUGUGUUCUGAGGCCAUGUCUGUACAUGCUAGGCUCGGCAAGUCAACCUAAGUGUUUCGCGUGUGUAAAUCUGGCUUACACCCGUUGUAUGUGAACAUUAGAAUCUAUCACACCCGAUCAUCACGUGGUGCUUCGAAACAACGAACUUUCACAACGGUGCACAGUUAGGGGGAACACUUUCUUGAAAUUUUAAUGAGGGAUCAUCUUAUUUACUACCGUCGUUCUAAGCAAAUAAGAUGCAUAAACAUGAUAAACAUCACAUGCAAUCAAAAAGUGACAUGAUAUGGCCAAUAUCAUUUUGCUCCUUUUGAUCUCCAUCUUCGGGGCUCCAUGAUCAUCAUUGUCACCAGCAUGACACCAUGAUCUCCAUCAUCAUGAUCUCCAUCAUCGUGUCUCCAUGAAGUUGUCUCGCCAACUAUUACUUCUACUACUAUGGCUAACGGUUUAGCAAUGAAGUAAAGUAAUUACAUGGCGUUGUUCAGUGACAUGCAGGUCAUACAAUAAAUAAAGACAACUCCUAUGGCUCCUGCCGGUUGUCAUACUCAUCGACAUGCAAGUCGUGAUUCCUAUUACAAGAACAUGAUCAAUCUCAUACAUCACAUAUCAUUCAUCACAUUCUUUUUGGCCAUAUCACAUCAAAUAGCAUACCCUGCAAAAACAAGUUAGACAUCCUCUAAUUGUUGUUUGCAUGUUUUACGUGGCUGCUAUGGGUUUCUAGCAAGAACUUUUCUUACCUAUGCAAAAACCACAACGUGAUAUGUCAAUUUCUAUUUACCCUUCAUAAGGACCCUUUUCAUCAAAUCCGAUCCGACUAAAGUGGGAGAUACUGGCACCCGCUAGCCACCUUAUGCAACAAGUGCAUGUCAGUCGGUGGAACCUGUCUCACGUAAGAGUAAGUGUAAGGUCGGUCCGGGCCGCUUCAUCCCACAAUACCGUCGAAACAAGAUUGGACUAGUAACGGUAAGCAUAUUGAACAAAAUCAACGCCCACAACUACUUUGUGUUCUACUCGUGCAUAGAAUCUACGCAAUAGACCUAGCUCAUGAUGCCACUGUUGGGGAACGUAGCAGAAAUUCAAAAUUUUCCUACGAGUCACCAAGAUCUAUCUAUGGAGAGACUAGCAACGAGAGAGAGGAGAGUGCAUCUACAUACCCUUGUAGAUCGCUAAGCGGAAGCGUUCAAGAGAACGGGGUUGAAGGAGUCGUACUCGUCAUGAUCCAAAUCACUGGAGAUCCUAGUGCCGAACGGACGACACCUCCGCGUUCAACACACGUACAGCCCGGUGACGUCUCCCAUGCCUUGAUCCAGCAAGGAGAGAGGGAGAGGUUGGGGAAGACUCCGUCCAGUAGCAGCACAACGUCAUGGUGGUGAUGGAGGAGCGUGGUAUUCCAGCAGGGCUUCGCCAAGCACCGCGAGAUAUGAGGAGAAAGAGAGGUAGGGCAGCGCCAGGGAGAGGUGGAAACUCUUGUCUCUGGCAGCCCCAAAACCUCAAGUAUAUAUAGGGGAGAGGGNNNNNNNNNNNNNNNNNNNNNNNNNNNNNNNNNNNNNNNNNNNNNNNNNNNNNNNNNNNNNNNNNNNNNNNNNNNNNNNNNNNNNNNNNNNNNNNNNNNNNNNNNNNNNNNNNNNNNNNNNNNNNNNNNNNNNNNNNNNNNNNNNNNNNNNNNNNNNNNNNNNNNNNNNNNNNNNNNNNNNNNNNNNNNNNNNNNNNNNNNNNNNNNNNNNNNNNNNNNNNNNNNNNNNNNNNNNNNNNNNNNNNNNNNNNNNNNNNNNNNNNNNNNNNNNNNNNNNNNNNNNNNNNNNNNNNNNNNNNNNNNNNNNNNNNNNNNNNNNNNNNNNNNNNNNNNNNNNNNNNNNNNNGGGGGGUGCACCAGCCCACCCGGCCACCCGGUGCUGGUCCCCUCCCACACUUGGCCCAUGCUGCCGUCUGGGGCCGGUGGCCCCACUUAGUGGACCCCCGGGACCCUCCCGGUGGUCUCGGUACGUUAUCGAUAUCACCCGAAACUUUUCCGGUGACCAAAAUGUUGGGGAACGUUGUAGAAAAUAAAAGUUUUUCCUACGGUUUCACCAAGAUCCAUCUAUGAGUUCAUCUAAGCAACGAGUGAAAGGGGAGAUGCAUCUACAUACCACUUUGUAGAUCGCGAGCGGAAGCGUUCAAAAGAACGGGGUUGAGGUAGUCGUUCUCGUCGUGAUCCUAUCACCGGAGAUCCUAGCGCCGAACGGACGGCACCUCCGCGUUCAACACACGUACGGUCAGCGUGACGUCUCCUCCAUCUUGAUCCAGCAAGGGGGAAGGAGAGGUUGAUGAUGAUCCAGCAGCACGACGGCGUGGUGGUGGAUGUAGCAGAACUCCGGCAGGGCUUUGUGAUGGGGUUAUGUACCUAGGGUAGGGUCAUGGACCUGAUCCAAGUACCUUGCCCAAGGACACCCUUAGAAGAAGUCAUCUUCCAGUCGACCAACGAGGGACACACUCGACUGACUUGAAGGACUCGACCACGAAGACUCACUCGACCACCAGGAGGUCAAGAGGCACUCUGCACUGCAACGGCCUGUAAUUAAGUAGGCUUUAUGAUAGUAAAGGCACUUUAUGUGGGGCGUUACCAGUAACGCCCCAGACUUAACUCACCUUAAACCCUCUCCUGCGUGGGCUGGCUGGGGUCCUGGCGCACUCUAUAUAAGCCACCCCCCUCCACAGGCAGAAGGGGUCGGCACCUUGUAGCUCAUAUACUCAUAAUCCACUCGACCGCCUCCGGGCUCCGAGACGUAGGGCUAUUACUUCCUCCGAGAAGGGCCUGAACUCGUACAUCCUUUGUGUUUACAACCUCUCCAUAGCUAGGACCUUGCCUCUCCAUACCUACCCCCCACUCUACUGUCAGGCUUAGAACCACGACAGUUGGCGCCCACCGUGGGGCAGGUGUUUUAGCGAUUUUGUGGAGAAGUUGCGAUUCUUCCGAGUACUUUCAUCAUGGUGUCUGCUGGAGUUUUGGUCGAGGGUCAAGAGAUCCGUCUCGGCACUCUCACCUUCAUCGCCGACGACUUAGCAUGGCUCCAGGAGGCUCCACUCGACGUAGAUGCGCUCCCCGUCCGCGGUGCGACGCAUUUUCGCGCAUGUGUCCGCGGCGUUCUGCUGCGGCAACCGUCGACCCAGUAUUGGUCGGCUCCUCCAUCGUCCACCCUCCCGGUCUCCCGCCAGCGCAAGCGCUCGGGCCGGUCGAGGCUUCAGCGAUGGGUGAGGCACGCGGUGGCUCGCCAAUCAGCCACCACCCAAGUCGCGGCAAUCGAGCCCGACGAAUAUCUCUACGGCUUGUUCGACCUGUCGACUGGCUCCGUAGAGACUGCAUCCGAGUGCGGUAGCAGUGAUCCAGCGGCAGAAAUCUUGAUGGUCGACGGGCCCCACAGUCCCCCUGGCUUCGCCCGUGGUGGUGGAGCAGGUGACGGCGGCGACCCUACGCGAGGCUACGAAGAGUACCAACCCGAGCCACUCGACUCUCUGCAAAGAGAGGAACUUCGCCGCAGGAACGAGGAUCCCCUGCGUAUUCCCAUCGCAGGAGAAACCCCCGAGGCUCGUGCCUUGGAGGAGGCGCGUCUGGCCAAUUUGGCCGAGCGCACUCGACUGGAGAACCUUCAGCGAGCUCUCGACGAGCGCGCGCGGCAACGAAUUCCCGACAACAGUCGACGUCAACUCUUCCCGCAGACUCAGGUAUAUCGAACCCGUAUAGCAGCUGCGACCCGUAUAGCAGAGUCCAUCCAGCCUUCGCAGUCGGAAGCUGGCAGAGGUUUGCUGCAGAUCAGGGAUCUGCUCCGGGCAGCAGGAGAUCAGAAUUCAGCCGUGUCUCAGUCGCACAACAGAAUUCACAGUCGAUCCGUCACUGUGAAUACGGUUCAGUCGGCUCAUAGCCCCAGAUCGCCUCCGCGGCGUGAAGGGCGCGAGAAUCGACGAGAUCAAUAUGGCGACAGACUCGACCGAGAUGAUAGGCGUCGAGUGCCCUAUUCCCCUCCGAGGGGUGGGUCUUACGCUCCUCGGCAGCCAGAUGAUAGGCGUCAGUACAGUACAUGGCGUAGGGUUCCAGUCGACCCCAGAGAACCAGGCUUCGACGCGCGAUCCAUUAUCGUGCAAGGGUUGGUUGACCGGAACAGAGCCCAUCGAGGUGGACUCGACAGAGAUGCACCCACAAGCAGUCGAGUGCAUGUUUCCGGUCCUGAAUGUUUCAGCAGAGCUAUCAGAGCCGCAGUUAUCCCUCCCAAUUUCAGGUUGGCAACAGGAGUCAGCAAGUUCACUGGUGAGUCUAAGCCUGAAACUUGGCUUGAAGACUACCGAGUGGCAGUUCAGAUUGGUGGUGGGAACGACGAGGUGGCCAUGAAGCAUUUGCCCCUCAUGUUGGAAGGUUCUGCCAGGGCAUGGUUGACUCAGUUACCUCCUAGCAGCAUUUACACUUGGGAAGAUCUGUCCCGAGUGUUCGUCAGAACGUUUGAAGGAACUUGCAAGCGACCAGCUGGAUUAACAUAGUUGCAAGUCUGCGUGCAGAAGGCCAAUGAGACUCUCAGAGAGUAUAUUCAGAGGUGGAUCACUUUGCAUCACACUGUGGAGAAUAGUGCCACACCACUCGCCAAUGUCGACUCCUGAUUCAGCAGUUUCAGGGAAAACAGUCUAAGGACAAGGAGAAGGAGUCGGACAAGGCCGAAGACAAGGAGGACAGUGAGGGAGGAUAUCCGCAAAUCAACUCCACUCUGAUGAUCUUUGCAGAUGUGGAAAGCAGAAGUCGACUGAAAGUGAUUAACCGAGAGGUGAACAUGGUUGCCCCCGCAAAAGCAAAUUAUCUGAAGUGGUCCCAAACACCCAUCACAUUCGACCAAUCUGAUCACCCGACUCAUAUUGCCACCCCUGGGAGGCAAGCUUUGGUGGUCGAUCCAGUUGUCGAAGGCACUCGACUGACAAAGGUGCUGAUGGAUGGUGGAAGUGGGCUGAACUUAUUGUAUGCAGACACAUUGAAAGGUAUGGGCAUUCCGAUGUCCCGACUGAGCACUAGUAACAUGAGCUUUCAUGGAGUUAUACCAGGGAAGAAGGCCGAGUCACUCGGCCAGAUAGCUUUGGACGUGGUGUUUGGUGAUUCGAAGCAUUUUCGCAAAGAAAAGUUGACGUUUGAGGUCGUGGAUUUUCAGAGUGCAUAUCAUGCCAUUUUGGGGAGACCAGCUUACGCACGGUUCAUGGCUCGACCAUGUUACGUGUACCUCAAAUUGAAGAUGCCCGGCCCCAAAGGAGUGAUCACUGUCACCGGUGAUCGGAAAAAGGCAGAAGAGUGCUUUCAGAAGGGCUCCAAGAUCGCCGAUUCCCAGGUGACAGCGGUCGAGUUCGAAGAAUAUAAGCAAAACGCAGAUCCGAGUGACUUGCUGCGAUCCAAGAAGCCCGCCACAGAGUCUGCAUUCCAGUCGUCCGGUGAGACGAAGCCUGUUCACAUUCACCCGACCGACCCCGAAGCAGCUCCGACCCGCAUCUCCACGACACUCGACCCAAAAUAGGAAGAAGCGCUCAUCCAGUUCCUCCGUGAGAACUGGGACAUUUUUGCAUGGAAGCCCGCUGACAUGCCAGGUGUUCCCAGGGGACUGGCUGAGCAUCGCUUAAGAGUCGACUCAUCUGCAAAACCAGUCAAAGAGCAUCUUCGGCGGUCCGCCGUCCAGAAGAGAAAAGCCAUUGGUGAAGAAGUGGCUCGACUGUUGGCGGCAGGAUUUAUCCGAGAGAUAUACCACUCCGAGUGGCUCGCUAAUGUCGUCAUGGUUCCUAAGAAGGACAAGUCGCUCCGAAUGUGCAUUGAUUUCAAGCACAUCAACCGGGCCUGCCCAAAAGAUCAUUUUCCUCUCCCUCGCAUAGAUCAAAUUGUUGACUCGACCGCGGGAUGUGAGAGGCUAUCUUUUUUAGAUGCCUACUCCGGGUACCACCAGAUCCGUCUGUACGGACCCGACGAGGUAAAAACAGCUUUCAUCACUCCAUUCGGGUGCUUCUGCUAUAUCACCAUGCCAUUCGGCCUCAAGAAUGCCGGAGCCACAUUUAUGCGAAUGAUUCAGAAGUGUCUACUCACUCAAAUCAGUCGGAAUGUGGAAGCAUAUAUGGAUGAUAUCGUUGUCAAGUCGCGAAAAGGUUCCGACCUGCUCGCUGAUCUCGCCGAAACAUUUGCCAACCUCAGAAGGUAUGAUAUCAAGCUCAAUCCAUCAAAGUGCACAUUUGGAGUUCCUGGUGGCAAGUUACUCGGUUUUCUCGUUUCCGAACGGGGAAUCGACGCUAACCCAGAGAAGAUUGGCACUAUUCUCCGAAUGAAACGCCCUGUGCGAGUGCACGAUGUCCAGAAGCUUACUGGAUGCUUGGCCGCAUUAAGUCGAUUCAUCUCACGACUCGGUGAAAAGGCAUUGCCUCUUUACCGACUGAUGAAGAAGACAGACAAGUUCGAGUGGACUCCAGAAGCUGAUGCAGCGUUUGCCGAGCUAAAAGCUCUGCUCUCCACCCAGCCGGUGCUUGCUGCUCCAAUCAGCAAAGAGCCUCUGUUGCUCUAUAUCGCAGCCACAGGACAAGUCGUCAGUACCGUGCUAAAGGUCGAGCGGGAAGAAGAAGGAAAAGCCCUCAAAGUUCAGCGCCCAGUGUAUUAUUUGUCUGAAGUCUUGACUCCAUCCAAGCAGAGAUAUCCUCAUUAUCAGAAGCUUGUAUAUGGAAUAUACAUGACCACAAAGAAGGUUGCUCAUUAUUUCUCUGAUCAUUCCAUCACAGUCGUCAGCGACGCUCCACUAUCAGAGAUUUUGCACAACAGAGAUGCAACUGGUCGAGUGGCCCAAUGGGCGAUUGAACUUCUUCCCCUUGAUAUCAAGUUUGAGGCAAAGAAAGCCAUUAAGUCCCAGGCAAUAGUAGAUUUCCUCGCUGAGUGGAUUGAACAGCAGCAGCCGACUGAAGUUCACUCGGAGCAUUGGACCAUGUUCUUUGAUGGCUCUAAGAUGUUGAAUGGUUCCGGUGCUGGGGUUGUCCUGGUUUCCCCCAGAGGAGAUAAGCUCAGAUAUGUGCUCCAGAUUCACUUUGAUUCCUCCAACAAUGAGGCAGAAUAUGAGGCCCUCUUAUAUGGGUUGCGCAUGGCCAUUUCACUCGGCGUCCGUCGCCUAAUGGUCUAUGGCGACUCGGAUUUAGUGGUCAAUCAGGUGAUGAAAGAGUGGGACGUGAGAAGCCCAGCCAUGACUGGAUACUGCAGUGCAGUGAGGAAGCUGGAAAAGAAGUUCAAGGGGUUGGAGCUCCAUCACAUACCCCGACUGAAAAAUCAAGCAGCUGAUGAUCUAGCAAAGAUAGGUUCCAAGAGAGAAGCCAUUCCGAGUGGUGUGUUCUUGGAGCAUAUACACACUCCGUCAGUCAAAGAAGAUCCUUUCACCGAAGAAACUCCACAGCCCAAGAGUGCCACAGAUCCGACUGAAGUUGAAGUCCCAGCGGUGGUCGACUUGAUCAUGGAGGUUUUGGUGGUCAUUCCCGACUGGACGAUUCCGUAUGUCGCAUAUAUCCUGAGAAAAGAGCUUCCGGAGGAUGAGGAAGAGGCUCGACAGAUCGUCCGUCGAUCUAAGGCCUUUACCGUUAUCAAAGGACAAUUAUACAGAGAAAGCGCGACUGGAGUUGGUCAGAAGUGCAUAACACCAGAAGAAGGUCGACUCAUCCUCAAUGAUAUUCACUCGGGGACCUGUGUGUUGGAAAUAUGCCCUAGAGGCAAUAAUAAAAGUAUUAUUAUUAUAUUUCCUUGUUCAUGAUAAUUGUCUUUUAUUCAUGCUAUAACUGUAUUAUCCGGAAAUCGUAAUACACGUGUGAAUACAUAGACCACAAUAUGUCCCUAGUAAGCCUCUAGUUGACUAGCUCGUUGAUCAAUAGAUGGUCACGGUUUCCUGGCUAUGGACAUUGGAUGUCGUUGAUAACGGGAUCACAUCAUUAGGAGAAUGAUGUGAUGGACAAGACCCAAUCCUAAGACUAGCACAAAAGAUCGUGUAGUUCAUUUGCUAGAGCUUUGCCAAUGUCAAGUAUCUUUUUCCUUAGACCAUGAGAUUGUGCAACUCCCAGAUACCGUAGGAAUGCUUUGGGUGUACCAAACGUCACAACGUAACUGGGUGGCUAUAAAGGUGCAUUACAGGUAUCUCCGAAAGUGUCUGUUGGGUUGGCACGAAUCGAGACUGGGAUUUGUCACUCCGUGUAAACGGAGAGGUAUCUCUGGGCCCACUCGGUAGGACAUCAUCAUAUGCGCAAUGUGACCAAGGAGUUGAUCACGGGAUGAUGUGUUACGGAACGAGUAAAGUGACUUGCCGGUAACGAGAUUGAACAAGGUAUCGGUAUACCGACGAUCGAAUCUCGGGCAAGUAACAUACCGAUAGACAAAGGGAAUUGAAUACGGGAUUGAUUAAGUCCUUGACAUCGUGGUUCAUCCGAUGAGAUCAUCGUGGAACAUGUGGGAGCCAUCAUGGGUAUCCAGAUCCCGCUGUUGGUUAUUGACCGGAGAACGUCUCGGUCAUGUCUGCAUGUCUCCCGGACCCGUAGGGUCUACACACUUAAGGUUCGAUGACGCUAGGGUUAUAAAGGAAGCUUGUAUGUGGUUACCGAAUGUUGUUCGGAGUCCCGGAUGAGAUCCCGGACGUCACGAGGAGUUCCGGAAUGGUCCAGAGGUAAAGAUUUAUAUAUAGGAAGUCCUGUUUCGGCCAUCGGGACAAGUUUCGGGGUCAUCGGUAUUGUACCGGGACCACCGGAAGGGUCCCGGGGGCCCACCGGGUGGGGCCACCUGCCCCGGGGGGCCACAUGGGCUGUAGGGGGUGCGCCUUGGCCUACAUGGGCCAAGGGCACCAGCCCCUAGAGGCCCAUGCGCCAAGAUAAAGGAAAAAGGGAAGAGUCCUAAAGGGGGAAGGCACCUCCGAGGUGCCUUGGGGAGGAUGGACUCCUCCCCAUCCUUAGCCGCACCCCUUCCUUGGAGGAGGGGGCAAGGCUGCGCCUCCCCCCUCUCCCUUGGCCCUAUAUAUAGUGGGGAAAAGGAGGAGCAAUCAUACCUAAGGCCUUUGGUUGCCUCCCUCUCCCUCCCGUGACACAUCUCCUCUCCCGUAGGUGCUCGGUGAAGCCCUGCAGGAUUGCCACGCUCCUCCAUCACCACCACGCCGUUGUGCUGCUGUUGGAUGGAGUCUUCCUCAACCUCUCCCUCUCUCCUUGCUGGAUCAAGGCGUGGGAGACGUCACCGGGCUGUACGUGUGUUGAACGCGGAGGUGCCGUCCGUUCGGCACUUGAUCAUCGGUGAUCUGAAUCACGACGAGUACGACUCCAUCAACCCCGUUCACUUGAACGCUUCCGCUUAGCGAUCUACAAGGGUAUGUAGAUGCACUCUCUUUCUACUCGUUGCUGGUCUCUCCAUAGAUAGAUCUUGGUGAUACGUAGGAAAAUUUUGAAUUUCUGCUACGUUCCCCAACAGUGGCAUCAUGAGCUAGGUCUAUUGCGUAGAUUCUUUGCACGAGUAGAACACAAAGUAGUUGUGGGCGUUGAUGUUGUUCAAUAUGCUUACCGUUACUAGUCCAAUCUUGUUUCGACGGUAUUGUGGGAUGAAGCGGCCCGGACCGACCUUACACGUACUCUUACGUGAGACAGGUUCCACCGAUUGACAUGCACUUGGUGCAUAAGGUGGCUAGCGGGUGCCAGUCUCUCCCACUUUAGUCGGAACGGAUUCGAUGAAAAGGGUCCUUACGAAGGGUAAAUAGCAAUUGGCAUAUCACGUUGUGGUCUUGCGUAGGUAAGAAACGUUCUUGCUAGAAACCCAUAGCAGCCACGUAAAACAUGCAACAACAAUUAGAGGACGUCUAACUUGUUUUUGCAGGGUAUGCUAUGUGAUGUGAUAUGGCCAAAAAGGAUGUGAUGAAUGAUAUAUGUGAUGUAUGAGAUUGAUCAUGUUCUUGUAAUAGGAUUCACGACUUGCAUGUCGAUGAGUAUGACAACCGGCAGGAGCCAUAGGAGUUGUCUUUAUUUUUGUAUGACCUGCGUGUCAUUGAAGAACGCCAUGUAACUUACUUUACUUUAUUGCUAAACGCGUUAGCCAUAGAAGUAGAAGUAGUCGUUGGCGUGACAAGUUCAUGAAGACACGAUGAUGGAGAUCAUGAUGAUGGAGAUCAUGGUGUCAUGCCGGUGACAAGAUGAUCAUGGAGCCCCGAAGAUGAAGAUCAAAGGAGCUAUAUGAUAUUGGCCAUAUCAUGUCACUACUCUAUUUGAUUGCAUGUGAUGUUUAUCAUGUUUAUGCAUCUUGUUUGCUUAGAACGACGGUAGUAAAUAAGAUGAUCCCUCAUUAAAAUUUCAAGAAGUGUUCUCCCCUAACUGUGCACCGUUGCUACAGUUCGUCGUUUCGAAGCACCACGUGAUGAUCGGGUGUGAUAGAUCCUUACGUUCACAUACAACGGGUGUAAGACAGAUUUACACAUGCAAUACACUUAGGGUUAACUUGACGAGCCUAGCAUGUGCAGACAUGGCCUCGGAACACAAAGACCGAAAGGUCGAGCAUGAGUCGUAUAGUAGAUACGAUCAACAUGAAGAUGUUCACCGACGGUAACUAGUCCGUCUCACGUGAUGAUCGGACACGGCCUAGUUGACUCGGAUCAUGUAAUCACUUAGAUGACUAGAGGGAUGUCUAUCUGAGUGGGAGUUCAUGAGAUGAACUUAAUUAUCCUGAACAUAGUCAAAAGACCCUUUGCAAAUUAUGUCGUAGCUCGCGCUAUAGUUCUACUGUUUAGAUAUGUUCCUAGAGAAAAUUAUAGUUGAAAGUUGAUAGUAGCGAUUAUGCGAUCAGUAGAAAGCUUAUGUCCUUAAUGCACCGCUCAGUGUGCUGAACCCCAACGUCGUUUGUCGAUGUUGCGAACAUCGGACAUACAUGUUUUGAUAACUACGUGAUAGUUCAGUUAAAUGGUUUAAGUAGAGGCACCAAAGACGUUUUCGAAACGUCGCGGAACAUAUGAGAUGUUUCGAGGGCUGAAAUUGGGAUUUCAGGCUCGUGCCCACGUCAAGAGGUUUGAGACCUCCGACGAUUUUCUUAGCCUGCAAACUAAGGAGAGAAGCUCAAUUGUUGAGCUUGUGCUCAGAUUGUCUGAGUACAACAAUCACUUGAAUCGAGUGGGAGUUGAUCUUCCAGAUGAAAUAGUGAUAGUUUCUCCGAAGUCAUUACCACCAAGCUGCUAGAGCUUCGUGAUGAACUAUAACAUAUCAGGGAUAGAUAUGAUGAUCCUUGAGAUAUUCGCGUUGUUUGACACCGCGAAAGUAGAAGUCAAGAAGGAGCAUCAAUUGUUGAUGGUUUGUGAAACCGCUAGUUUCAAGAAGGGCAAGGGCAAGAAGGGAUACUUCGUGAAACGGCAAUUCAGCUGCUGCUCUAGUGAAGAAACCCAAGGUUGAACCCAAACCCGAGACUAAGUGCUUCUGUAAAUAAGGGGAACAACCACUGGAGCAGGAUUACCCUAGAUACUUGGUAGAUGAGAAGGCUGGCAAGGUCGAUAGAAGUAUAUUGGAUAUACAUUGUGUUAAUGUGUACUUUGCUAGUACUCCUAGUAGCACCAGGGUAUUAGAUACCGGUUCGGUUGCUAAGUGUUAGCAACUCGAAACAAAAGGCUACGGAAUAAACGGAGACUAGCUAAAGGUGAGCUGACGAUAUGUGUUGGAAGUGUUUCCAAUGUUGAUAUGAUCAAGCAUCGCACGCUCCCUCUACCAUCGAGAUUUGGUGUUUGCGUUGAGCAUAGACAUGAUUGGAUUAUGUCUAUCGCAAUACGGUUAUUCAUUUAAAGAGAAUAAUGGUUACUCUAUUUAUUUGAAUAAUACCUUCAAUGGUCUUGCACCUAAAAUGAAUGGUUCAUUGAAUCUCGAUCGUAGUGAUACACAUUUUCAUGCCAAAAGAUAUAAGAUAGUAAUGAUAGUACCACUUACUUGUGGCACUGCCAUGUAAGUCAUAAUGGUAUAAACGCAUGAAGAAGCUCCAUGUUGAUGGAUCUUUGGACUCACUCAUUUUUGAAAAGUUUGAGACAUGCGAACCAUGUCUAUUGGUGUAUAUGCAUGAAGAAGCUCCAUGCAAAUGGACCGUUCGGACUCACUUGAUUUUGAAUCACUUGAGAUAUGCAAAUCAUACCACAUAGGCAAGAUGACUGAAAAGCCUCGGUUUCAAUAAGAUGGAACAAGAUAGCAACUUGUUGGAAGUAACACAUUUUGAUGUGUGCAGUCCAAUGAGUGCUGAGGCAUGCAGUGAAUAUCGUUAUGAUCUCACUUCACAGAUGAUUCGAGUAGAUGUUGAGAAUAUUUACUUGAUGAAACACAAGUCUGAAUUAUUGAAUGGUUCAAGUAAUUUCAGAGUGAAGUAGAAGAUCAUUGUGACAAGAGGAUAUAAUGUCUAUGAUAUGAUCAUAGAGAUAAAUAUCUGAGUUACGAGUUUUGGCACACAAUUAAGACAUUGUGGAAAUUGUUUCGCAAUUAAUACCGCCUGGAACACCAUAGUGUGAUGGUGUGUCCGAACAUCAUAGUUGCACCCUAUUGGAUAUGGUGCGUACCAUGAUGUCUCUUAUCGAAUUACCACUAUCGUUCAUGGGUUAGGCAUUAGAGACAACCACAUUCACUUUAAAUAGGGCACCACGUAAUUCCGAUGAGAUGACACCGUAUGCAUUAUGGUUUAGAGAAACCUAAGUUGUCGUUUCUUAAAGGUUUGGGGCUGCGACGCUUAUGUGAAAAAUUUUCAGGAUUAAGCUCGAACCCAAAGCGGAUAAAAUACAUCUUCAUAGGAAACCCAAAACAGUUGGGUAUACCUCCUAAUUCAGAUCCGAAAGCAAUAUGGAUUGUUUCUUGAAUCGGGUCCUUUCUCGAGGAAAGGUUUCUCUCGAAAGAGUUGAGUGGGAGGAUGGUGGAAACUUGAUGAGGUUAUUGAACCGUCUCUUCAGCUAGUGUGUGGCAGGGCACAGGAAGUUGUUCCUGUGGCACCUACACCAAUUGAAGUGGAAGCUUAUGAUAGUGAUCAUGAAGCUUCGGAUCAAGUCACUACCGAACCUCGUAGGACGACAAGGACACGUACUACUUCGGAGUGGUAAGGUGAUCCUGUCUUGAAGGUCAUGUUGCUAGACAACAAUGAACCUACGAGCUAUGGAGAAGCGAUGGUGGGCCCGAAUUCCGACAAAUGGUUAGAAGACAUGAAAUCCGAGAUAGUAUCCAUAUAUCAGAACAAAGCAUGGACUUUGAUGGACUUGCCCGAUGAUCGGCAAUCCAUUGAGAUAAAUGGAUCUUUUAAGAAGAAGACGGACGUGGAUGGUAAUGUCACCAUCUAUGAAGCUCGACUUGUGGCGAAGUGUUUUCCGACAAGUUCAAGGAGUUGACUACGAUGAGAUUUUCUCACUCGUAGCGAUGCUUAAAGUCCGUUGGAAUCAUGUUAGCAUUAGCUGCAUUUAUGAAAUCUGGCAGAUGGAUGUCAAGACAAGUUUCCUUACUAGUUUUAGUAAGGAAAGGUUGUAUGCAAUACAAUCAAAAAGUUUUGUCGAUCUUAAGGAUGCUAAAAGGUAUGCUAGCCCAGCGAUCGUUCUAAGGACUGGAGUGAGCAUCUCGGAGUUGGAAUGUAUGCUUUGAUGAUGAUCAAAGAUUUUGGGUUUGUACAAAGUUUACGAGAAACUUGUAUUUCCAAAGAAGUGAGUGGGAGCACUAUAGAAUUUCUGAUGAGUAUAUGUUGUUGACAUAUUGAUGAUCAGAAAUGAUGUAGAAUUUCUAGAAAGCAUAUAGGGUUAUUUGAAAGGUGUUUUUCAAUAGAAAACCUGGAUUAAGCUACUUGAACAUUGAGCAUCGAGAUCUAUAAGGAUAGAUCAAAAUGCUUAAUAAUACUUUCAAAUGAGCACAUACCUUGACAUGAUCUUGAAGGUGUUCAAGAUGGACCAGUCAAAGAAGGAGUUCUUGCCUGAGUUGUAAGGUACGAAGUUAAGACUUAAAGCUCGACCACGGCAGAAUAGAGAGAAAGGACGAAGGUCGUCCCCUAUGCUUAAGACAUAGGCUCUUCAGUAUGAUAUGCUGUGUACCGCACCUGAAGUGUGCCUUGCCAUGAGUCAGUCAAGGGGUACAAGAGUGAUCCAAGAAUGGCUCACAGGACAGCGGUCAAAGUUAUCCUUAGUAACUAGUGGACUAAGGAAUUUUCUCGAUUAUGGAGGUGGUAAAAGAGUUCGUCGUAAAGGUUACGACGAUGCAAGCUUGACACCUAUCCGGAUAGCUCUAAGUAGAGAUACCGGAUACGUACAAUGGGGCAACAAUUUAGAAUAGUUGCAAGUAGAACAGUUGUUUGGAAUAGCUCCAAAUAGAGCGUGGUAGCUGCAUCUAGGAGAUGACAUGGAGAUUUGUAAAGCACACACGGAUCUGAAAGGUUCAGACCCGUUGACUAAAACCUCUCUCACAAGCAACAUGAUCAAACAUAAAACUCAUUGAGUGUUAAUCACAUAGUGAUGUGAACUAGACUACUGACUCUAGUAAACUCUUGGGUAUUAGUCACAUGGCGAUGUGACCUGUGAGUGUUAAUCACAUGGCGAUGUGAACUAGAUUAUUGACUCUAGUGCAAGUGGGAGACUGUUGGAAAUAUGCCCUAGAGGCAAUAAUAAAAGUAUUAGUAUUAUAUUUCCUUGUUCAUGAUAAUUGUCUUUUAUUCAUGCUAUAACUGUAUUAUCCGGAAAUCGUAAUACACGUGUGAAUACAUAGACCACAAUAUGUCCCUAGUAAGCCUCUAGUUGACUAGCUCGUUGAUCAAUAGAUGGUCACGGUUUCCUGGCUAUGGACAUUGGAUGUCGUUGAUAACGGGAUCACAUCAUUAGGAGAAUGAUGUGAUGGACAAGACCCAAUCCUAAGACUAGCACAAAAGAUCGUGUAGUUCAUUUGCUAGAGCUUUGCCAAUGUCAAGUAUCUUUUUCCUUAGACCAUGAGAUUGUGCAACUCCCAGAUACCGUAGGAAUGCUUUGGGUGUACCAAACGUCACAACGUAACUGGGUGGCUAUAAAGGUGCAUUACAGGUAUCUCCGAAAGUGUCUGUUGGGUUGGCACGAAUCGAGACUGGGAUUUGUCACUCCGUGUAAACGGAGAGGUAUCUCUGGGCCCACUCGGUAGGACAUCAUCAUAUGCGCAAUGUGACCAAGGAGUUGAUCACGGGAUGAUGUGUUACGGAACGAGUAAAGUGACUUGCCGGUAACGAGAUUGAACAAGGUAUCGGUAUACCGACGAUCGAAUCUCGGGCAAGUAACAUACCGAUAGACAAAGGGAAUUGAAUACGGGAUUGAUUAAGUCCUUGACAUCGUGGUUCAUCCGAUGAGAUCAUCGUGGAACAUGUGGGAGCCAUCAUGGGUAUCCAGAUCCCGCUGUUGGUUAUUGACCGGAGAACGUCUCGGUCAUGUCUGCAUGUCUCCCGGACCCGUAGGGUCUACACACUUAAGGUUCGAUGACGCUAGGGUUAUAAAGGAAGCUUGUAUGUGGUUACCAAAUGUUGUUCGGAGUCCCGGAUGAGAUCCCGGACGUCACGAGGAGUUCCGGAAUGGUCCGGAGGUAAAGAUUUAUAUAUAGGAAGUCCUGUUUCGGCCAUCGGGACAAGUUUCGGGGUCAUCGGUAUUGUACCGGGACCACCAGAAGGGUCCCGGGGGCCCACCGGGUGGGGCCACCUGCCCCGGGGGGCCACAUGGGCUGUAGGGGGUGCGCCUUGGCCUACAUGGGCCAAGGGCACCAGCCCCUAGAGGCCCAUGCGCCAAGAUAAAGGAAAAAGGGAAGAGUCCUAAAGGGGGAAGGCACCUCCGAGGUGCCUUGGGGAGGAUGGACUCCUCCCCAUCCUUAGCCGCACCCCUUCCUUGGAGGAGGGGGCAAGGCUGCGCCUCCCCCCUCUCCCUUGGCCCUAUAUAUAGUGGGGAAAAGGAGGAGCAAUCAUACCUAAGGCCUUUGGUUGCCUCCCUCUCCCUCCCGUGACACAUCUCCUCUCCCGUAGGUGCUUGGCGAAGCCCUGCGGGAUUGCCACACUCCUCCACCACCACCACGCUGUUGUGCUGCUGUUGGAUGGAGUCUUCCUCAACCUCUCCCUCUCUCCUUGCUGGAUCAAGGCGUGGGAGACGUCACCGGGCUGUACGUGUGUUGAACGCGGAGGUGCCGUCCGUUCGGCACUUGAUCAUCGGUGAUCUGAAUCACGACGAGUACGACUCCAUCAACCCCGUUCACUUGAACGCUUCCGCUUAGCGAUCUACAAGGGUAUGUAGAUGCACUCUCCUUCUACUCGUUGCUGGUCUCUCCAUAGAUAGAUCUUGGUGAUUCGUAGGAAAAUUUUGAAUUUCUGCUACGUUCCCCAACACUGUGGUCAUCAUGCGUCCUCUCGGACCAUCGUGGCCAAAGCAUACCGAGCCGGAUUUUACUGGCCAAAGGCGAAUGAGAUGGCAAAAGAAAUAGUGGAUAAGUGCGAGGGAUGUCAAUUCUACUCGAAUAUGUCACACAAGCCCGCAUCAGCUCUGAAGACCAUCCCACUCGUCUGGCCUUUCGCAGUAUGGGGAUUGGACAUGGUCGGUCCUUUGAGAACAGGACGAAGUGGCUUCACGCAUGUACUGGUGGCAGUCGACAAGUUCACGAAGUGGAUCGAGGCUAAACCAAUCAAGAACCCUUACGCCAGUACUGCCGUUAGCUUCAUCAGGGAACUAAUAUUCAGAUAUGGAGUCCCGCACAACAUCAUUACGGAUAAUGGGUCGAACUUUGACUCGGAGGAAUUCAGAGAUUUCUGCAAUUCCCAAGGCACACGGGUCGACUACGCUUCAGUUGCCCAUCCGCAGUCGAAUGGACAAGCAGAGCGAGCUAAUGGACUGAUUCUUAAGGGAUUGAAGCCCCGACUGAUGCGUGAUCUCAAACACGCGGCUGGAGCUUGGGUCGACGAACUUCCCUCUGUACUCUGGGGACUGCGGACCACACCUAAUCGGUCGACCGGAAGAACUCCAUUCUUCUUGGUCUACGGAGCUGAAGCAGUCUUGCCGAGUGAUCUUCUCCAUAAUGCUCCCCGAGUUGAAAUCUACAACGAAGCAGAAGCUGAACAAGCGCGGCAGGACGCAGUCGACCUUUUAGAGGAAGAAAGGGAGAUGGCUCUGAUCCGCUCGACCAUCUACCAACAAGAUUUGCGUCGUUUUCAUGCCAGAAAUGUGAGAGGUCGAGCCUUCCAGGAAGGAGAUUUAGUGCUCCGAGUGGAUCAGCCCAAACCACACAAGCUUGCUCCUUCUUGGGAAGGCCCCUUCAUCGUCACCAAGGUUCUCCACAACGGGGCGUACCGUCUUUACAACGUCGAGCAUAAUAUCGACGAGCCCCGAGCUUGGAACGCGGAGCUACUCCGCCCAUUUUACACUUAAGUUUUAUCACUCGGAUGAGUUGCAAUAAAGUACUUCUGUAGUUCGUGGGCCUCAAAAUAAUAGUGUCAUAGUUCCUCCAUAAUUUCUGUCACUUUUUAUUUUUGUCCACAUAAAAUUCCCCCUCAGUGGGUGGCUUAGCUGCGAAUCCGUUUUGCCUAAGUUUGUAAAAAUCUUACCGAGUGGUGAGCCAGACUCCCACUCGGAGGCUUAGCCGCGAAUCUGUUUCGCCUAAGUUUAUCAAAAUCCUACCAAGUGGUAAGCCAGCCUUCCACUCGGAGGCUUAGCUGCAGUCCAAGGACUCGCCUAAGUUUAUCAAAAUCCUACCGAGUGGUAAGCCAGCCUUCCACUCGGAGGCUUAGCUGCAGUCCAAGGACUCGCCUAAGUUUAUCAAAAUCCUACCGAGUGGUAAGCCAGCCUUCCACUCGGAGGCUUAGCUGCAGUCCAAGCACUCGCCUAAGUUAUCAAAAUCCUACCGAGUGGAGAGCAACCCUCUCACUCGGGGGCUUAGCUGCAGUCCAAGCACUCGCCUAAGUUAUAAAAAUCCUACCGAGUGANNNNNNNNNNNNNNNNNNNNNNNNNNNNNNNNNNNNNNNNNNNNNNNNNNNNNNNNNNNNNNNNNNNNNNNNNNNNNNNNNNNNNNNNNNNNNNNNNNNNNNNNNNNNNNNNNNNNNNNNNNNNNNNNNNNNNNNNNNNNNNNNNNNNNNNNNNNNNNNNNNNNNNNNNNNNNNNNNNNNNNNNNNNNNNNNNNNNNNNNNNNNNNNNNNNNNNNNNNNNNNNNNNNNNNNNNNNNNNNNNNNNNNNNNNNNNNNNNNNNNNNNNNNNNNNNNNNNNNNNNNNNNNNNNNNNNNNNNNNNNNNNNNNNNNNNNNNNNNNNNNNNNNNNNNNNNNNNNNNNNNNNNNNNNNNNNNNNNNNNNNNNNNNNNNNNNNNNNNNNNNNNNNNNNNNNNNNNNNNNNNNNNNNNNNNNNNNNNNNNNNNNNNNNNNNNNNNNNNNNNNNNNNNNNNNNGAAUCCGUUUCGCCUAAGUUUGUAAAAAUCCUACCGAGUGGUGAGCCAGACUCCCACUCGGAGGCUUAGCUGCGAAUCCGUUUCGCCUAAGUUAUCAAAAUCCUACCGAGUGAAGAGCAACCCUCUCACUCGGGGGCUUAGCUGCAGUCCAAGCACUCGCCUAAGUUAUCAAAAUCCUACCGAGUGAAGAGCAACCCUCUCACUCGGGGGCUUAGCUGCAGUCCAAGCACUUGCCUAAGUUAUAAAAAUCCUACCGAGUGAAGAGCAACCCUCUCGCUCGGGGGCUUAGCUGCAGCCCUGUGCUCGCCUAAGUUACAAAAAUCCUACCGAGUGAAGAGCAACCCUCUCACUCNNNNNNNNNNNNNNNNNNNNNNNNNNNNNNNNNNNNNNNNNNNNNNNNNNNNNNNNNNNNNNNNNNNNNNNNNNNNNNNNNNNNNNNNNNNNNNNNNNNNNNNNNNNNNNNNNNNNNNNNNNNNNNNNNNNNNNNNNNNNNNNNNNNNNNNNNNNNNNNNNNNNNNNNNNNNNNNNNNNNNNNNNNNNNNNNNNNNNNNNNUGCCUAAGUUAUCAAAAUCCUACCGAGUGAAGAGCAACCCUCUCACUCGGGGGGCUUAGCUGCAGUCCAAGCACUCGCCUAAGUUAUAAAAAUCCUACCGAGUGAAGAGCAACCCUCUCACUCGGGGGCUUAGCUGCAGUCCAAGCACUUGCCUAAGUUAUCAAAAUCCUACCGAGUGGAGAGCAACCCUCUCACUCGGAGGCUUAGCCGCAGCCCAGUGCUAGCCUAAGUUAUCAAAAUCCUACCGAGUGAAGCGUAAAACCUCUCACUCGGGGGCUUAGCCACGGCUCAGUGCUCGCCUAAGUGGACUAAAGAAUAAGUCGAUUGCAGUAAAGGCGCCUUGCUUUGAACCUGCAAAAGACAUUUCGAGCCGAAGGCAAUCGUAUUCAAGCACCAAAUUCAAGUUUGAAUUGAUAUCUAAAGGAACCGAAAGUGCUCAGGCGUCAAGCCCGUUAAGGUUUGUCGGUUACAAUUCCACUCGGUAUACCGAGGCAAAUUUAAAGCGUCGAGCCAGGCAAAUUCAAAGCGUCGAGCCAGAAGAAGUUUUUUACCCCUCCUGUGGAGGGCUGGAAGGUGCAACGAAUUCAUCAAGGUCAAUUCCGUCGGCGAUCCGAGUGGCAGCUGCAAGGAAAGUUUCCAUAAAGGACCUGAAGUCGUGCUUCUUGGUAUUGGCCACCCGAAGGGCCGCCAGCUUCUCUUCUCGCGCAUCUUUGCAGUGGACUCGGGCCAGACACAGAGCGACAUCUGCACCACACCGAGCCGAGGACUUCUUCCACUCUUGCACUCGACCAGGGAUCGUGUUCAAGCGGGCCAUCAACGACUCAAGGUCAUUCUGAAGUGUCUCCUCAGGCCAGAGCGUCGAGUCGAUGCGCGAUGUGGCGGCCUUCAGCCUUGCGAGAUAGUCCACGACAGCUGCAACACGGGACUCCAGUCGGAAAACUUCCAUGGCAACUUCGUCGUUCACCGGAGAAUUGACGGGGUCGAGGUUUGGCUCCAGCCGGCUAGUUUCUUCUUCAAAGUUUUGACAAAAUUCUGCAAGGGUGAUCACUAAGUCAAGGGGAUGGUCGAAUGGAAAAAUCACAAUUGGAAAUGUCUGCCAAACAUAGAGGUUUACCUUCAAGCAUAAGAAAUAGCUUCUUGGCAAGGCCACUCAGGAAGGCCUCCAGUUCAGUUUUCUUCUCAGUUAAUUUGCUGACUUGGUCGGUCAGGGCAGCUUUAUCAGUUUUCAGUCGACUGACCUCCUUGUUGGCAAUCCCAAGAGCAGCUUUCAGAUUGGUAUUGUCUUGUUCGAGCUUGGUGACUGAAGCUAACUUCUCGUCAGCAAGCUUGAUCUUCUCAGCUAGCUCAAGGUCUUUCUUCUGCUGGGCCUCCCUUACCUUACCUGCAAGAUUACAGCAAGAUCAGAUUUUGAAGCAAGCAAGGGGAAAAGCAGUCGUCAAGGUCUCACCAAACAUACCUUCGGUCUCCUCCUUUGCCUUUGUCAGCUUCUCCUGAACCAGCUUCAAGCUCAGCUCGACUUGAGUAUGCUUGUGUUCCAGCUCUGAGUAGCGAGCCACAAGAUCACAAGAGUUCUGCGAAGAACCAAUCGACUAAAUGUCAAAUAUAAUUCACUUCCGAGUGAAAAAGGGAAAAACACACAUUUCUAAGACUACAUCCGAAUACAAGCAUUCGACCGUAGUCUCGGGGACUACACCCAGUGGGUGCACUCAGCGUGCCCCCACUAAUCCUGUUGAAGACAAAGUCGACCAGUCGACCUCAAAAAAAAGUGCGAGAUGCAUUCUCUAAGACUGUGAUCAACUGCAAGCAGUCGACCACAGUCUCGGGGACUACACCCAGUGGGUGCACUCAGCGUGCCCCCACCGGUUCGUGAAAUCCAGUCGACCAGUCGACUGACAGAAAGAUUGACAUCAUAAAGCCUAAGGCCGACUGCCAGCAGUCGACCUUAGCCUUGGGGACUACACCCAGCGGGUGCACUCAGCGUGCCCCCGCUAACUCGGAGUUUAUUCGACACACCCAGUGGGUGACUACUAUAAAUUCCAGAAAGGAAAAGUUUUUGGUAGCAUAUCCAACAGAACAAACAGUGGUCGACUGACCUGGACAUUGCUUUGGAGGGCAGAACUGGCGUCAUAAGCUGCCUGGCUCGCGUCCCGGAUGGUCUUCAGCUGCUCCAUCAUGAGUCCCGCCUGGCGUAUCGCCUCCUUCGCUGCGCCAGCUUGGUCUUCUGGGACGUGGUGCGUCGUGAAGAGGGAGGGCUGCUGAGCACUCGUCAGUGGAUUUGCGAAAGACACCGUGUGUCGAGUGGUGUUCUCUUCCUCCACAGUCAGAAUCUCAGGCGCCGUCACAUCCUGAGGCACCUUACUGGCAGACGCUUUCCGACUCCUCCUGCGCUUCAGCGGCUCUUCAUCCUCAUCAUCAUCAGGAAGAUUGAUAACAGUAUUGGGUGGAGCUGCGGAGAAGAAUCAGGAUCAGAGAUCGCGAGUCAGUCGACUAAGAACGGCGUUAAGAAUACAGUACCUGGGUUCGAAGUCGCUGCGUCCUCCAUCUCGUGGUCAUCAGCCCGGGCCGAGGUUUCAGAAGUAGCAGCACUGCAACUCCAAAGGAUCAGUCGACUAACUUCAGCGUCGACCAAAGACAAAGUUCACGCAAAAUGAGAAGAUUCAAACAACACGAUUACCCUGAUAUGGUAGGGAUGGACACCUUCAUCUUCGGCAGGAGCUUGGUCGGCUUCGACGAGGCCGCCCUGGGCUGCUUCGGCGCCUUUUCAGUCGGCACCGGAGAGAUGGUCCGGGGGCGCUUGGUCGACUGAGUAGUGGUCGCAACCCCCUUACCACGUUCGGUUGAAGGGUCGUGAACAAGCUUCGACCGCCUUUCCGAGCGCGGUGGUACGACCUCCUCCUCCUCUUCCUCCUCGUCUUCAACGUCAUCGUCAUCGCCGUCGUCAUCAUCAUCGUCGUCGUCAUCCCCUGCAACGUCCGAGUCCCACUCCUCCUCUUCCUGGCUCUCACCCCCGCUCGCCUCACCCUCCUCAGUCGGAGUUUGUGCCCCAUUGGGCAUCGAGUACAGCUCGGUGAGAGCCUAGCAGAUAUCAAGACAAGGAUCAGUCGACCAGUCGGCAGGAUAAACAGAAAUGAAUGCGACAAGAGCACAGUGGAGAGCAGAGCAAAUGUACCUUGUUUGGAUCGCUGUUGUGGUCGAGUGGAGGAAUCCUUCUGGCUCCGCGUGGGUUGUCUUUGUUUCCGGUAACGGCUACCAUCCAUCUUUCCAGAGUGACAUCGUCGACUGCUUCUGGAUGGACUCGAGUCUCGUCUUCGGUCCCAUAGUACAACCACAUGCAGUGGCUCCGGAACUGAAGAGGCUGGAUGCGACGCCUGAGGAAGACCUCCAAGAGGUCCAUGCCCGUCACUCCCUCCCGAACCAACUGCACCACGCGCUCCAUCAACAUCUUCACAUCAGCUUUCUCCUCCGGAAUCAACUUCAGAGAGGAGGGCUUGUUCACUCGAUCCAUGGUAAACUGUGGGAGUCCACUCGACUGCCCCGGCGUCGACUGGUCUGGGCAGUAGAACCAGGUCGACUGCCAGCCUCUGACCGACUCGGGAAAGGUCAUGGGCGGGAAGGUGCUCUUAUUCCUCACCUGGAUCCCCAGACCCCCACACAUUUGGACGACUCGGGUUCUCUCAUCACCUGGGCUCGCCUUCUUCACUGUCUGAGAGCGACACGUGAAUAUAUGUUUGAACAAACCCCAGUGCGGUCGACAGCCCAAGAAACCCUCACACAUGGACACGAACGCAGCAAGAUAGGCAAUGGAGUUUGGGGUAAAGUGGUGGAGCUGCGCUCCGAAGAAAUUCAAGAAGCCACGGAAGAAAACACUCGGCGGCAAGGAAAACCCACGAUCAACAUGGGUGGCCAAAAGUACACACUCACCCUCUUCUGGCUGGGGCUGCCACUCCUUCCCCGGAAGCCUAGCAGCCCCGUGAGGGAUCAAGCCCUCGUUGGCCAUGUCGAGGAGGUCAUUCUCUGUGAUGGUCGACUGGAUCCAGUCUCCUUGGACCCAGCCCUUCGGUAGGCGGGAUCUGGACGAGGACCCUCCGCGGCUGGUGGAUCUCCCCUUUGCCUUCUCCGACGCCGACGCCUUCUUUGCACGCUCCAGCGCCGCCGUCUUCUCCUUGGCCAUGGUCUCCGGCGAGAUGCGCGAAGGGAAGUGGUGCGGGGGCGAGAGCGAGCACGCUGAGCGGGGAAGAAGGAAGCAGAGAGAGGGAGAAAAUGCUGAGGCGCAGCACAGAAAUCCUCGCCGGGCGCAUUUAUAAGGUCCCUUCCGAGUGGCUGACAUGUGGGCCCGGUCGAUCUAAUCAUAUCAGGAACAGUUGCGCAGGCGGGAUACAUGGCGAAAAAAGUGGCGCGGAGAUCGAGGCGUCUAUGCCCCGUCCCAUCCGAACGCCGCGGUCCGCCCCGCUUCGCGCGCGUCCCCAAAUUUCGCAUCCCGCAGAAUCCGCGAACAGCAAAUCAGUCUGUCAGACGCGGUGUUUCCGGAGAUCCGUCGCUCGGAGAUCGUCGAAACCCGAAAGGUCACUCGACGCAAAAAUAGAAUGGAUUGAGUCGACUGAAGACAAGUUGCUCCCUGUCGACGAAGAGAUUCUUUGGUCCAGGACAACGCACGACCAGGGCACAAAGGUUAAUCGGAAACGACGUCAACUCCUUCCUCACUCGAAGCCUCAAUCCAUUCGGGGGCUAAUGAUGGGGUUAUGUACCUAGGGUAGGGUCAUGGACCUGAUCCAAGUACCUUGCCCAAGGACACCCUUAGAAGAAGUCAUCUUCCAGUCGACCAACGAGGGACACACUCGACUGACUUGAAGGACUCGACCACGAAGACUCACUCGACCACCAGGAGGUCAAGAGGCACUCUGCACUGCAACGGCCUGUAAUUAAGUAGGCUUUAUGAUAGUAAAGGCACUUUAUGUGGGGCGUUACCAGUAACGCCCCAGACUUAACUCACCUUAAACCCUCUCCGGCGUGGGCUGGCUGGGGUCCUGGCGCACUCUAUAUAAGCCACCCCCCUCCACAGGCAGAAGGGGUCGGCACCUUGUAGCUCAUAUACUCAUAAUCCACUCGACCGCCUCCGGGCUCCAAGACGUAGGGCUAUUACUUCCUCCGAGAAGGGCCUGAACUCGUACAUCCUUUGUGUUUACAACCUCUCCAUAGCUAGGACCUUGCCUCUCCAUACCUACCCCCACUCUACUGUCAGGCUUAGAACCAUGACACUUCGCCAAGCUGCUGCGGGAGGAGGACGAGGUGUAGCAGGGGGAGGGAGGCACCAAGACUUGGGGUGGGGCUGCCCUCCCCCCUGCCCUCCUUUAUAUAGGCCCCCAGGGGGGGGGGCGCCAGCCCUGGGAGAUUCAAUCUCCCAAGGGGGCGGCGGCCAGGGGGGGUGGAGUGCCCUCCAAGGCAAGUGGUGCGCCCCCCCACCUAGGGUUUCCAACCCUAGGCGCAGGGGGGCCCAGGGGGGGGGGGGGCGCACCAGUCCACUAGGGGCUGGUUCCCCUCCCACUUCAACCCACGGGGCCCUCUGGGAUAGGUGGCCCCACCCGGUGGACCCCCGGGACCCUUCCGGUGGUCCCGGUACAAUACCGGGUGACCCCGAAACUUUCCCGAUGGCCGAAACAACACUUCCUAUAUAGUUUUCUUUACCUCCGGACCAUUCCGGAACUCCUCGUGAUGUCCGGGAUCUCAUCCGGGACUCCGAACAACAUUCAGUUUGCUGCAUACUCAUAUUCAUACAACCCUAGCGUCACCAAACCUUAAGUGUGUAGACCCUACGGGUUCGGGAGACAUGCAGACAUGACCGAGACAGCUCUCCAGUCAAUAACCAACAGCGGGAUCUGGAUACCCAUGUUGGCUCCCACAUACUCCUCGAUGAUCUCAUCGGAUGAACCACGAUGUCGAGGGUUCAAGCAACCCCGUAUACUAUUCCCUUUGUUAGACGGUAUGUUACUUGCCCGAGACUCGAUCGUCGGUAUCCCGAUACCUCGUUCAGUCUCGUUACCGGCAAGUCACUUUACUUGUACCGUAAUGCAUGAUCCCGUGACCAGACACUUGGUCACUUUGAGCUCAUUAUGAUGAUGCACUACCAAGUGGGCCCAGUGAUACCUCUCCGUAACACGGAGUGACAAGUCCCAAUCUCGAUCCGUGUCAACCCAACAGACACUUUCAGAGAUACCUGUAGUGCACCUUUAUAGUCACCCAGUUACGUUGUGACGUUUGGUACACCCAAAGCACUCCUACGGUAUCCGGGAGUUACACGAUCUCAUAGUCUAAGGAAGAGAUACUUGACAUUGGAAAAGCUCUAGCAAAACGAACUACACGAUCUUGUGCUAUGCUUAGGAUUGGGUCUUAUCCAUCACAUCAUUCUCCUAAUGAUGUGAUCCCAUUGUCAACGACAUCUAAUGUCCAUAGUCAGGAAACCAUGACUAUCUGUUGACCAACGAGCUAGUCAACUAGAGGCUUACUAGGGACGUAUUAUGGUCUAUGUAUUCACACGUGUAUUACGAUUUCCGGAUAAAACAAUUAUAGCAUGAAUAAAAGACAAUUAUCAUGAACAGGGAAAUAUAAUAAUAAUCCUUUUAUUAUUGCCUCUAGGGCAUAUUUCCAACAGUCUCCCACUUGCACUAGAGUCAAUAAUCUAGUUACAUUGUGAUGAAUCGAACACCCAUAGAGUUCUGGUGUUGAUCAUGUUUUGCUCGCGAGAGAGGUUAAUCAACGGAUCUGCGACAUUCAGAUCCGUAUGUACUUUGCAAAUAUCUAUGUCUCGAUCUUGAACAUUUUCACGGAUGGAGUUGAAGCGACGCUUGAUGUGCCUGGUCUUCUUGUGAAACCUAGGCUCCUUGGCAAGGGCAAUAGCUCCAAUGUUGUCACAGAAGAGUUUGAUCGGCCCCGACGCAUUGGGUAUGACUCCUAGGUCGGUGAUGAACUCCUUCACCCAUAUUGCUUCAUGUGCUGCCUCCGAGGCUGCCAUGUACUCCGCUUCACAUGUAGAUCCCGCCACGACGCUCUGCUUGCAGCUGCACCAGCUUACUGCCCCACCAUUCAACAUAUACACGUAUCCGGUUUGUGACUUCGAGUCAUCCAGAUCUGUGUCGAAGCUAGUGUCGAUGUAACCCUUUACGACGAGCUCUUCGUCACCUCCAUAAACGAGAAACAUGUCCUUUGUCCUUUUCAGGUACUUCAGGAUAUUCUUGACCGCUGUCCAGUGUUCCUUGCCGAGAUUACUUUGGUACCUUCCUACCAAACUUACGGCAAGGUUUACAUCAGGUCUGGUACACAGCAUGGCAUACAUAAUAGAUCCUAUGGCUGAGGCAUAGGGGAUGACACUCAUCUCUUCUUUAUCUUUUUACCGUGGUCGGACAUUGAGCCGUGCUCAAUUUCACACCUUGCAGUACAGGCAAGAACCCUUUCUUGGACUGAUCCAUUUUGAACUUCUUCAAAAUCUUAUCAAGGUAUGUGCUUUGUGAAAGACCUAUGAGGCGUCUUGAUCUAUCCCUAUAGAUCUUGAUGCCUAAUAUGUAAGCAGCUUCUCCAAGGUCCUUCAUUGAAAAACACUUAUUCAAGUAGGCCUUAAUGCUGUCCAAGAAUUCUAUAUCAUUUCCCAUCAAAAGUAUGUCAUCUACAUAUAAUAUGAGAAAUGCUACAGAGCUCCCACUCACUUUCUUGUAAACGCAGGCUUCUCCAUAAGUCCGCAUAAACCCAAACGCUUUGAUCGUCUCAUCAAAGCGAAUGUUCCAACUCCGAGAUGCUUGCACCAGCCCAUAAAUGGAUUGCUGGAGCUUGCACACUUUGUUAGCAUUCUUAGGAUCGACAAAACCUUCCGGCUGCAUCAUAUACAGCUCUUCCUUAAGAUAACCGUUAAGGAAUGCCGUUUUGACGUCCAUCUGCCAUAUCUCAUAAUCAUAGUAUGCGACAAUUGCUAACAUGAUUCGGACGGACUUAAGCUUUGCUAUGGGAGAGAAAGUCUCAUCGUAGUCAAUCCCUUGAACUUGCCGAUAACCCUUAGCGACAAGUCGAGCUUUAUAGAUGGUGACAUUACCAUCCGCGUCCGUCUUCUUCUUAAAGAUCCAUUUGUUUUCUAUCGCUCGCCGAUCAUCGGGCAAGUCAGUCAAAGUCCAUACUUUGUUUUCAUACAUGGUAUCUAUCUCGGAUUGCAUGGCUUCUAGCCAUUUGUUGGAAUCUGGGCCCGCCAUCGCUUCUUCAUAGUUCGAAGGUUCACCGUUGUCUAACAACAUGAUUUCCAGGACAGGGUUGCCAUACCACUCUGGUGUGGAACGUGUCCUUGUGGACCUACGAAGUUCAGUAGCAACUUGAUCCGAAGUACCUUGAUCAUCAUCAUUAAUUUCCUCUCCAGUUGGUGUAGGCACCACAGGAACAUUUUCCUGAGCUACACUACUUUCCGGUUCAAGAGGUAGUACUUCAUCGAGUUCUACUUUCCUCCCAUUUACUCCUUUCGAGAGAAACUCUUUUUCCAGAAAGGAUCCGUUCUUGGCAACAAAGAUCUUGCCUUCGGAUCUAAGGUAGAAGGUAUUCCCAAUGGUUUCUUUGGGGUAUCCUAUGAAGACGCAUUUUUCCGACUUGGGUUCGAGCUUUUCAGGUUGAAGUUUCUUGACAUAAGCAUCGCAUCCCCAAACUUUUAGAAACGACAGCUUAGGUUUCUUCCCAAACCACAAUUCAUACGGUGUUGUCUCAACGGAUUUAGACGGUGCCCUAUUUAAAGUGAAUGUAGCUGUCUCUAGAGCGUAUCUCCGAAAUGAUAGCGGUAAAUCAAUAAGAGACAUCAUAGAUCACACCAUAUCCAAUAGAGUGCGAUUACGACGUUCGGACACACCGUUACGCUGAGGUGUUCCAGGCAGCGUGAGUUGUGAAACGAUUCCACAUUUUCUUAAGUGUGUACCAAAUUCGUGACUUAAAUAUUCUCCUCCACGAUCCGAUCGUAAGAAUUUUAUCUUUCGGUCACGUUGAUUCUCUACUUCAUUCUGAAAUUCCUUGAACUUUUCAAAGGUCUCAGACUUGUGUUUCAUCAAGUAGACAUACCCAUAUCUACUUAAGUCAUCAGUGAGAGUGAGAACAUAACGAUAUCCUCCGCGAGCCUCAACGCUCAUUGGACCACACACAUCAGUAUGUAUGAUUUCCAAUAAGUUGGUUGCUCGCUCCAUUGUUCUAGAGAACGGAGUCUUGGUCAUUUUUCCCAUGAGGCAUGGUUCGCAUGUGUCAAAUGAUUCAUAAUCGAGAGACUCUAAAAGUCCAUCAGCAUGGAGCUUCUUCAUGCGCUUGACACCAAUGUGACCAAGGCGGCAGUGCCACAAGUAUGUGGGACUAUCGUUAUCAACUUUACAUCUUUUGGUAUUCACACUAUGAAUAUGUGUAACAUUACGCUCGAGAUUCAUUAAGAAUGAACCAUUGACCAUCGGGGCAUGACCAUAAAACAUAUCUCUCAUAUAAAUAGAACAACCAUUAUUCUCGGAUUUAAAUGAGUAGCCAUCUCGUAUCAAACGAGAUCCAGAUACAAUGUUCAUGCUCAAACUUGGCACUAAAUAACAAUUAUUGAGGUUUAAAACUAAUCCCGUAGGUAAAUGUAGAGGUAGCAUGCCGACGGCGAUCACAUCGACCUUGGAACCAUUCCCGACGCGCAUCGUCACCUCGUCCUUCGCCAGUCUCCGCUUAUUCUGCAGCUCCUGCUGUGAGUUACAAAUAUGAGCAACGGCACCGGUAUCAAAUACCCAGGAGUUACUACGAGUACUGGUAAGGUACACAUCAAUUACAUGUAUAUCAAAUAUACCUUUAGUGUUGCCGGCCUUCUUGUCCGCUAAGUAUUUGGGGCAGUUCCGCUUCCAGUGACCCUUCCCUUUGCAAUAAAAGCACUCAGUCUCAGGCUUGGGUCCAUUCUUUGACUUCUUCCCGGCAACUGGCUUACCGGGCGCGGCAACAUCUUUGCCGUCCUUCUUUAAGUUCUUCUUACCCUUGCCCUUCUUGAACUUAGUGGUCUUAUUGACCAUCAACACUUGAUGUUCUUUCUUGAUUUCAACCUCUGCUGACUUCAGCAUUGAAAAUACUUCAGGAAUGGUCUUCACCAUCCCCUGCAUAUUGUAGUUCAGCACAAAGCUCUUGUAGCUUGGUGGGAGCGACUGAAGGAUUCUGUCAAUGACCGCCUCGUUCGGGAGGUUGAUCUCCAGCUGGGACAGGCGGUUGUGCAACCCAGACAUUUUGAGUAUGUGCUCACUGACAGAACUGUUUUCCUCCAUCUUACAACUGUAGAACUUGUCGGAGACUUCAUAUCUCUCGACCCGGGCAUGAGCUUGGAAAACCAUUUUCAGCUCCUCGAACAUCUCAUAUGCUCCGUGUUUCUCAAAACGCUUUUGGAGCCCCGGUUCUAAGCUGUAAAGCAUGCUGCACUGAACGAGGGAGUAAUCAUCAGCACGUGAUUGCCAAGCAUUCAUAAUGUCUUGGUUCUCUGGGAUGGGUGCUUCACCUAGCGGUGCUUCUAGGACAUAAUAUUUCUUGGCUGCUAUGAGGAUGAUCCUCAGGUUCCGGACCCAGUCUGAAUAGUUGAUGCCAUCAUCUUUCAGCUUGGUUUUCUCUAGGAACGCGUUGAAGUUCAUGUUGACAUGAGCGUUGGCCAUUUGAUCUACAAGACAUAUUUUGCAAAAGUUUUAGACUAAGUUCAUGAUAAUUAAGUUCAUCUAAUCAAAUUAUUUAAUGAACUCCCACUCAGAUUAGUCAUCUAAGUGUUACACGAUCCGAGUCGACUAGGCCAUGUCCGAUCAUCACGUGAGACGGACUAGUCAUCAUCGAUGAACAUCUCCAUGUUGAUCGUAUCUUCCAUAUGACUCAUGUUCGACCUUUCGAUCUCUGUGUUUCGAGGCCAUGUCUGUACAUGCUAGGCUCGUCAAGUUAACCCUAAGUGUUCUACAUGUGUAAAUCUGUCUUACACCCGUUGUAUGUGAACGUAAGGAUCUAUCACACCCGAUCAUCACGUGGUGCUUCGAAACGACGAACUUUAGCAACGGUGCACAGUUAGGGGGAACACUUUCUUGAAAUUAUUAUAAGGGAUCAUCUUAUUUACUACCGCCAUUCUAAGUAAACAAGAUGCAUAAAACAUAAUAAACAUCACAUGCAAUUAUAUAGUAGUGACAUGAUAUGGCCAAUAUCAUAUAGCUCCUUCGAUCUCCAUCUUCGGGGCUCCAUGAUCAUCUUCGUCACCAGCAUGGCACCAUGAUCUCCAUCAUCAUGAUCUCCAUCAUUGUGUCUUCAUGAAGUUGUCACGCCAACGACUACUUCUACUUCUAUGGCUAACGCGUUUAGCAAUAAAGUAAAGUAAUUUACAUGGCGUUCUUCAAUGACACGCAGGUCAUACAAAAAAUAAAGACAACUCCUAUGGCUCCUGCCGGUUGUCAUACUCAUCGACAUGCAAGUCGUGAUUCCUAUUACAAGAACAUGAUCUCAUACAUCACAAUAUAUCAUUCAUCAUUCAUCACAACUUCUGGCCAUAUCACAUCACAUGACAAUUGCUGCAAAAACAAGUUAGACGUCCUCUAAUUGUUGUUGCAUCUAUUACGUGGCUGCAAUUGGGUUCUAGCAAGAACGUUUUCUUACCUACGAAUAACCACAACGUGAUUUUGUCAACUUCUAUUUACCCUUCAUAAGGACCCUUUUCAUCUAAUCCGCUCCAACUAAAGUAGGAGAGACAGACACCCGCUAGCCACCUUAUGCAACUAGUGCAUGUCAGUCGGUGGAACAUGUCUCACGUAAGCGUACGUGUAAGGUCGGUCCGGGCCGCUUCAUCGCACAAUACCGCUGAAGCAAGAAAAGACUAGUAGCGGCAAGCAAGUUGACAAGAUCUACGCCGUGUUCUACUCGUGCAAUAGAGAACUACGCAUAGACCUAGCUCAUGAUGCCACUGUUGGGGAACGUUGCAGAAAAUAAAAAAUUUUCCUACGGUUUCACCAAGAUCCAUCUAUGAGUUCAUCUAAGAAACGAGUGAAAGGGGAGAUGCAUCUACAUACCACUUUGUAGAUCGCGAGCGGAAGCGUUCAAAAGAACGGGGUUGAGGUCGUUCUCGUCGUGAUCCUAUCACCGGAGAUCCUAGCGCCGAACGGAUGGCACCUCCGCGUUCAACACACGUACGGUCAGCAUGACGUCUCCUCCAUCUUGAUCCAGCAAGGGGGAAGGAGAGGUUGAUGAUGAUCCAGCAGCACGACGGCGUGGUGGUGGAUGCAGCAGAACUCCGGCAGGGCUUCGCCAAGCUGCUGCGGGAGGAGGACGAGGUGUAGCAGGGGGAGGGAGGCGCCAAGACAUGGGGUGCGGCUGCCCUCCCCCCUGCCCUCCUUUAUAUAGGCCCCCAGGGGGGGGGCGGCCCUGGGAGAUUCAAUCUCCCAAGGGGCGGCGGCCAGGGGGGUGGAGUGCCCCCCAAGGCAAGUGGUGCGCCCCCCACCUAGGGUUUCCAACCCUAGGCGCAGGGGGGGCCCAAGGGGGGGCGCACCAGCCCACUAGAGGCUGGUUCCCCUCCCACUUCAGCCCACGGGGCCCUCCGGGAUAGGUGGCCCCACCCCGUGGACCCCCGGGACCCUUCCGGUGGUCCCGGUACAAUACCUGGUGACACCGAAACUUUCCCGAUGGCCGAAACAACACUUCCUAUAUAGUUUUCUUUACCUCCGGACCAUUCCGGAACUCCUCGUGACAUCCGGGAUCUCAUCCGGGACUCCGAACAGCAUUUGGUUUGCUGCAUACUCAUAUUCAUACAACCCUAGCGUCAUUGAACCUUAAGUGUGUAGACCCUACGGGUUCGGGAGACAUGCAGACAUGAUCGAGACAGCUCUCCGGUCAAUAACCAACAGCGGGAUCUGGAUACCCAUGUUGGCUCCCACAUACUCCUCGAUGAUCUCAUCAGAUGAACCACGAUGUCGAGGGUUCAAGCAACCCCGUAUACUAUUCCCUUUGUUAGACGGUAUGUUACUUGCCCGAGACUCGAUCGUCGGUAUCCCAAUACCUCGUUCAGUCUCGUUACUGGCAAGUCACUUUACUCGUAUCGUAAUGCAUGAUCCCAUGACCAGACACUUGGUCACUUUGAGCUCAUUAUGAUGAUGCACUACCGAGUGGGCCCAGUGAUACCUCUCCGUAAUACGGAGUGACAAAUCCCAGUCUCGAUCCGUGUCAACCCAACAGACACUUUCAGAGAUACCUGUAGUGCACCUUUAUAGUCACCCAGUUACGUUGUGACGUUUGGUACACCCAAAGCACUCCUACGGUAUCCGGGAGUUACACGAUCUCAUGGUCUAAGGAAGAGAUACUUGACAUUGGAAAAGCUCUAGCAAAACGAACUACACGAUCUUGUGCUAUGCUUAGGAUUGGGUCUUGUCCAUCACAUCAUUCUCCUAAUGAUGUGAUCCCGUUGUCAACGACAUCUAAUGUCCAUAGUCAGGAAACCAUGACUAUCUGUUGACCAACGAGCUAGUCAACUAGAGGCUUACUAGGGACGUAUUGUGGUCUAUGUAUUCACACGUGUAUUACGAUUUCCGGAUAAUACAAUUAUAGCAUGAAUAAAAGACAAUUAUCAUGAACAGGGAAAUAUAAUAAUAAUCCAUUUAUCAUUGCCUCUAGGGCAUAUUUCCAACACAAAACAGGACUUCCCAUAUAUAAAUCUUUACCUCCGGACCAUUCCGGAACUCCUCGUGAUGUCCAGGAUCUCAUCCGGGACUCCGAAAAACAUUCGGUAACCAUGUAUAUCUAUUCUCUAUAACCCUAGAGUCAUCGAACCUUAAGUGUGUAGACCCUACGGGUUCGGGAACCAUGUAGACAUGACCGAGACAACUCUCCGGUCAAUAACCAACAGCAGGAUCUGGAUACCCAUGUUGGCUCCCACAUGUUCCACGAUGAUCUCAUCGGAUGAACCACGAUGUCAAGGACUCAAUCAACCCCGUAUACAAUUCUCUUUGUCUAGCGGUAUUGUACUUGCCCGAGAUUCGAUCGUCGGUAUCCCGAUACCUUGUUCAAUCUCGUUAUCGGCAAGUCUCUUUACUCGUUUCGUAACACAUCAUCCCAUGAUCAACCCCUUGGUCACAUUGUGCACAUUAUGAUGAUGUCCUACCGAGUGGGCCAAGAGAUACCUCUCCGUCACAUGGAGUGACAAAUCCUAGUCUCGAUUCGUGCCAACCCAACAGACACUUUCGAAGAUACCCGUAGUGCACCUUUAUAGCCACCCAGUUAUGUUGUGACGUUUGGUACACCCAAAGCAUUCCUACGGUAUCCGGGAGUUGCACAAUCUCAUGGUCUAAGGAAAUGAUACUUGACAUUAGAAAAGCUUUAGCAUACGAACUACACGAUCUUUGUGCUAGGCUUAGGAUUGGGUCUUGUCCAUCACAUCAUUCUCCUAAUGAUGUGAUCCCGUUAUCAACGACAUCCAAUGUCCAUUGUCAGGAAACCGUAACCAUCUAUUGAUCAACGAGCUAGUCAACUAGAGGCUUACUAGGGACAUGGUGUUGUCUAUGUACCCACACAUGUAUUUGAGUUUCCUAUCAAUACAAUUAUAUCAUGGAUAAUAAACGAUUAUCAUGAACAAGGAAAUAUAAUAAUAAUAACUAAUUUAUUAUUGCCUCCAGGGCAUAUUUCCAACAGACCAUCCUCAACUCUCGGUGCACCAUAGAAACCCGUCACCCUCCAUUGCUUCGCGCCAUUAAAUUUCUUCCGCACCAUCAUAUCAAUAUGGCCGGAACUAUAGUUCAUCAACUCUGCAUCCAGUUCCCCGGACCAAAACAUACCAAUUCCCCCACUGAGACCGGCGCUGCUAACUACAAAACAGCCCGCGAACCCAAGCAGGAGUUCCAGACUUUCCACUCUAUUUGCCGAACUCUUCGUCUCCAUAACAAAUAGGAGAUCGGGCCCUUCUUGCUUCACAACAUUGCGAAGCUCACGAACUGCCGCUGGGUUCCCAAGCCCCCGGCAGUUCCAACUUAGGCAACUCAUUGUUCCCGGCGGGGCUGCAACGCAGCCACCGCCGAUUCAUCCAAAUUGUGAGAAUUGGUGGGUGUGGGCUUUUUCUUCUUCGGCUCCCGUUCUGUCACAACAUCUCUGUCCUCACCCACCGAAGCAUUCUCUCCCGCUCUGAAAACCACCAUUGCAUUGGUGGCUUCUUUCUCUUGCACCUGCUCCACGAUAGUCACCGGUGGCAGUGCAAUCUGUCUAUACACUAGUUUCUGACUUUGAGGACCUCCCUUCCUCUUGUUCUUUUGAUUGUUUUUCUUUGGAGGGGAGACAACCUCAGUAUAAGCAUCUGUAUUUGCAUCUGUUUUUGCGCCUGAUUUUGCAUUCGUCGUAGGAGCCUCCUUGUUGCUAUUCUGACUAGAUUGCUGCUCUUUAGACGAGCCAUCGCUGGACACUGUUUUCUUCUUCUCUUCCAGCGCUCUCAAGCUCGUUUUAAACGGUAAAUCGCCGUUCUCAUCCGGUGAUCUAGGCGUCGGACAGUGAAGAUCCGAGUGGCCCAAUCGUCCGCACGAGAAGCAGAAAUUGGGUACCUGCUCGUACUGUAUGUCAUACCAAUCCCUGCCGCCUCUCGCUGCAGAAUCGAUCAAUAUCCACUUGCGCAGAGGCUUCCUCACAUCUAUGGUCACCCUUGCACGCAGGAACCCCCCAACGGGAUUAAACUGGACCGCAGAUGCGUUCGUAUCAAUCUGCCUGGCCACAACUUUGCCCCUUGUGUCACUCCUCAAGUUGAACGGCAGGUUCAAAACCCUAGCCCAGAUCCUGAGUUUGUCAAAUUGCAGUUCUGACGGCUGCAUACUCUCCUUGAACUCAGUAAGAAUCACAACAUGCUUGCUCACAUGCCAUGGUGAACCCUCCCACACGCGAUCGCGAUCGUGCUGAGUCUCAAAUUCCGCCACAAAGAUGUUCUCACCAGCCGAUCGGAACACCAGACCUCUAGGGUUCCCCCAAGCCGGCCGCAAAGCGUUGGCAAUCGUCUGAAUAUGCAACAAAUUCUGAUGGAGAACCUUCCCCGCAAUCGCCCAGGUUGGCCUUGCGCCGUCAUCAACAUCAUCCAGGAUCAAUGGCGUUGCCUCCUCUUCCGUGAGAUCUAAUUUCCCCAUGGCUUCCUCCAUGCGUGCCCUCGCUGCCCUUGGCGAGAGAGCAUCCUUCCCGCUCGACGAACCUGAUGCCGCAGCCAUCAGGAUUCCCUUUGUGCAGCCCGCCGGCAAGAAUUGACCGACGGCCGCCCUCUUUCCACUCGAAACCCUAAUCGCCUCCUGAGGUGGCUCCUAGUUUUUCGGGGAACGCCGCAACACUCGUCACAUGAUUCUUGCGGGAUCCUGAAUUAGACCGUUGAUAUUCUGUUGAUCCUAAAAGAUACAUGUACUCCCCCUUAGAUUAUUUUUUAACAUCAACACAAACGAUCAUAUAUAUACGCGCAUACAAAAGACCUCGCAUGAAAUCGUUUUUCUUUUUUCUUGUUGCAGCCAAGCCCCCCAAUAAACCUCAACAAACCCCAGCCAGUCAGCCACCCAUGUUGCGCACGGCGAUCGCCGCGGCGGCGCGGCGGCGCAUCUCCCUUGCCCCGGCAAGAUUCGCGCACGAGCUCGCGCAGGCGCAGGCGCAGGCCCAGACGGCCGUCCCUGAUCGUCGGCAGGAGAAUCUCGAUGCUGUACAGGAGAAUCUCGAUACAGGAGAAUCGUUGAGCCGUCGUGGAUCCCGCUCUACAGGAGAAUCUCGAUACUGUACGGCAGGCCGCCGGGAAUGGUGGCGGCGGAGAUGGACAACUAUCUCCGCAAGAGGCGCCCGCUCUCGGCGGACCAGAUCGUCGCCUACGUCCGGAAGCUCCGCAAGUUCAAGAGCAACGCUUGCGCGCUCGAGGUGAGCCCCCACCCCCAAUCUCCCCGCAAAAUGGUGGCCUGAUUUGGAUCGGGAUGCGUUUGCGCCUUCAUAUAUAUUGCUGUUCGAUACCACAUUUGACAUACUAGCGUGUUUCUGCUGAAAGCAGCGGGUUCGGGAUAAACCUCCAUUCUGCAUUCUCUCUCUGGAUAAUUUUGAUUUAAGGUCACACUAUUGGAAAUGCACGAUGCAAACUGAAUGUUCCUUUUAAGACUCAUUGUGUUGGCAAUCACCACAAUGGUAAUUUGAUAUCUGACGCUAACUGAAACUAGGUGCCAUACUGCACAUUGCUCCAGCUUCAGAGGUCAGCAUUAUAGGUGCCAUACUGCACAGAGCUCCAGCUUCAGGGGCUCUGAAGGGCAAUUGGAGAACCAAGGACAUGAUAGAAGUUGGAUGUUCUCCACGAACUCCAGAAGGGGGCUCUGAGGGCAUCUCCCGCCGUUGGCCCCCAGGGGGCGUCUAAAAGCGCCGCCUGGGGAUGAGCCGGCGCAAAAAAUGGCCCUGGGGACGAGUCGGUCCCCAGCCGUCGGCCCCCCAGGGCUGCCCCAGGCGCGUAUUAAAAAAAAAAGAAGGACCGUUCGGCGAAGCUAUGAUAAAAAGUAGUUAAAUUUCGGCUAAACAUGGCAAAUUUCGGCGAAAUUCGCGCAUUUUCAUUACAUUAACCUAAUCUAAAAAAGAAAGGGGCUGAAGUCGUCGCCGCCAUCGUCGUCGUCGGCCUUCUCCUCCUUGACGCGGGCGCCCCUGCUGGACCCGGCGUCGCCAUGGCAGACUGGCGGCGGCGCGUCGUCGUCGUCGUCGUCGCUGUCGCAUAGGACAACGACCCCGUCUUCAUCGCGGCCGCGUCGGCGCUCCUCGAAGCGGCGCAGGGCAGCGCGCUGACGCUCCUUCACCUUAUCCCGGCGCGCCUUCUCCAUCGCAAUGGAGUCCUGGCGCGCCCAUUCUAGGGCCGCGUCGUCGUCGUCGAACUCCGCCUUCACCGGCGCCAGCCCUGGCUCCGUCUUUGGCUUGACGAAGCGCGGAGGAGCCGACGAGGAGGAGGCGCGCCGGCCGCCCUCGUUGAUGACGAUGCCGGCGCUGCGAGUGCGCCGGCUGAGCGGCGACUCCGCCGCGGGCUCGGCCUUGACGCCGAGCAGGGCCGGAGUGCCGGAGGAGUGCGAUGAGGAUCGGGAGGAGGAAGAGGAGGAGGACCCGAACCUCCUUGGCGCCCAUGGCCCGACGCGUCGGUGCUGCACCGGGGGGUACGCCAACGGCGGGUCGUUGCCGCCCUCGAGGUACGUGAGCACGCCCUCGAGUGUGCGGCCGGGGACACCCCACCAGAGGUGGCGCCCCUCGCUGUUCUGCCGGCCGCCGACCACCGGCGCGCCGUUGGUGGACGCCAAUCGCUGCUGCUGGCGGCGCUCGAAAUACGCCGCCCAGGCCGCGUGGUUGUCGGCGGCGUACUGGGGGAGGGAGAGUUGGGCGUCGGUGAGGGACGCGCGCACGAUCUCGACCUCCUCGGCGAAGUACUUCGGCUUCGCCACGGCGUCGGGCAACGGGGGAAUGGGCACUCCCCCGACGCUGAGUCUCCACCCCGUUGGCCCAGCGCGCAUGUCCGGCGGCGCCGGGAUGUUCGCCUCGAACAGGAGCCAGGACUCCUGUUCGCGGAGCGAACGGCGGCCGAAGCCGUUGGCCGCCGCCUCGUCUCCGGGGAAGCGUUCUGCCAUGGCGACGGCGGGGCUGGGCGGGCUCGGGAGAGGUAGAGGGAGGGGCUAGGCGGCGGCGCUCGGGAGAGGCAGGGAGAGGGAGGGGCUGGACGGCGGCGAGGGGCGGGGCUGGUGUGGGCACAGGCGAGUGGAGGCCGCCGGCUUUUAUAGCUGGGCCGCGCCCGUGUGUACGCGUGCGAGGGAGGGGAGGCGUCGGCGCGCCGUCCCGUGAAGCGCCGUCCGUGAGGAAUCAAUGGCAAGGCUGACCAGCGGCAGCCUUGCCAUUGAUUCCCCGCGGGAACCGAGGCCGUUGGGGGAAGACGAGGCGCCGAGUCGCUGACGCGGCUGGCCCGUGUCUUUUUCGCGCCAAAACAGCUCGCCCCGGCGCCCCCGGGCGCCCCCCAGCGCGCCGGGUUCGGGCUGGAUCCGCCGGCGCUGUUUUCGGCCCAAACCGGCGAAAAUCGGGCUCCUGGGGGCGCGACUGGGCCGUUUUUUCGGCGCCGGCGCGAAAAAAUCGCCUGGGAAGGCUUUUCUGGGGGCGCGGCUGGAGAUGCCCUUUUGAUGGUAGGUUUCUUUCGAAGCCAGGCCUUCUGGAGGCGUACGGGACAUUCAAGUGGCCUUGGGUUCCCGGUACCGCCCUUUCCUCUCACAACACUGUUUCUCAGCCUUGGGUAGGAUCUUGGGAGUCCCCUCCCCUCCCUCCUUCAUCCAUAAGUGUCCUUUCGGCUCUCACAAUGCUGUCUCUUGGUCUUGGAUCAGCCCGGGUAGGGAUUGACUCGGGCACACACUGGCACAGGAAUCGGGGACUGUAAUCCAUUUCCGAACACCAGUAAUCUAGGAAUAUUUGUACAGGCAUAUGUUAAGGUUAGGACUGAAUCCAAAAUAAUACAUGUCGCUACAAUAAAGAGAUAGUAUGGGAGCAUUUUCCCUCACUGCCCCCAAAAAAUGAUUCUUCUACAACCAGUAUUUCCAAUCAAUUAGAAACUCAGUUAUGAACCCCAUGACUGAUAAUUAUGAAUGCUGUCACCAGAGAGAAUACAUUGAGAGAGAAAAUGCAUUUGCCAUGAUCUAGUUCAUUAGAACAGUGAAUUUGUGUUGUAGUUAACAAGGUGUAUUGUUUCUAACAGACAAUUGCUAAAAACAUUUUGAUGGGUAAUUUUUUCAAACAAGCGUCUCUUUCAUGUGCUGUACAAAUAACCGCUGAUCAAACAUAUACAGUCUGAGAUUUGAACAAUGGGGUCUACCACAAAAACAAUUGAUGGUUAAGAAUGGUCUUAAAUAGAGUUAAUUUCCAAUUUUGGGGAAUUAAUCUGCCAUUGGUAGCUUGCCCGUAACACACUCUACUGCUAAGUCGGGGAUGUCGAUUCUCACACAUAAAUAGGCAAAAACCUGGAGAAAAUAUGUCCUAGAGGGAAGGAAAGUAAGACUUCACAAUAGGAAAUGAAGGUUCAAGAUCUAACAGUAGAGGUUUAAAUUAUGAUGGCAUUAAUGCGUCUCUCCUAAGGAUCUUUUUUAUGUUCACUGUAGAGAUUUCUUAUGCUGUUCUGGUGCAACCUCUUUCUGAGCAGAGUAUCUUUUUUAUGUUCACUGUAUAAUAUCCAGCUGUGUUGUUUUGUAUCCAGUUGAUGGACUGGAUGGAAUCUCGUGGAGCAAAGUUGAUACCUGGGCAUCAAGAGCUGCGGCUUGGCCUGGUUUCAAAAGUGCAUGGGAUACAGGCAGCUGAGGAAUAUUUCUGGAGCCUUCCUGAUAAGUCAAAGAAAACUUAUUCAUCUUUGCUUAACUGCUGUACAACAACUGAGAAGCUGAAAGUCAUGGACAUGGUUCCAAAUACACUGUUGUACAACAACUUGAUGACUUUGUACCAAAAGGCGGGCCAGCCAGAGAAAAUCCCCUCCACAUUUGAAGCAAUGCGAGAAAGUGGUAUAAGUGCUAACAAUUUUACAUACUCCAUAUUGAUAGAAAGCUAUGUUACAAUGAAUGACCUGGAGGCUGCAGAGAAAGUCCUGGAAGAAUUGCAGAAGGUGGCUCCAGUUCACUGGUCCUUGUACACUAUGAUGGCAAACAAUUACCUCAAACAAGAGCUGUUUGGAAAGGCAGAAGUGGCUCUAAAGAAAGCUGAGGAAGUCAUGGAUAAAGCUGAGUUGUUGUCCUGGCAUUUCCUCAUCUAUUUGUAUGCCCGUUCUGGCAAUUCAACCGAGCUUAAGAGGAUCUGGGAGUCUUUGAAGUCCACAUUCAAGAAAUGCUCGAACAAAAGUUAUCUUGUAAUGCUUGAAGCUCUGAAUAUGAUUGAUGACUUUGAGUCUUUGCAGCAAAUCUUUCUGGAGUGGGAAUCGAGUCAUGGACAUUAUGACAUUAGGAUAACAAAUGUUAUGAUCAAAGCUUACCUUGAUAAGGGUAUGAUAGACGAAGCUGAGGCUAUCCGUCAGAGCACCAUGUCUCAGGGUCAUUGCAAUGUAAGGACGGUUUACAUAUUUGCCGAGUUCUAUUCGGACAGAUCUGACGUUAC
rnacentral:lncRNA from 1 species